UGAUGAUUCCAACCAAUCCACACAAUGCAAAGUGAAUCCAUGCUGAAGGUGCUUGUUCUGUAUAAAGCAUCCAAUAGGUAGACUGCAAAGUAGCAUAUGCAAUGCACGAAACACAAGCAAAAUCAUAUCGCAUAACUCACACAGAGAUCAAAAACAGAAAGUGCAGGCUUUCAGUGCUUGAUGAAAUACUAUCAAAAGCAGAUUAAUAGUUAAGUAGAACGCGGCCACAUCUAAUUUUAAAGAUUUAUCUUUACCGCAACAAAUGUAAGAACUGCCAGAAAUAUUGUAAUAGAGUAUCCUUUCUGAAGGAUUGCCAUUGGGUCCUCCAUGGGAGACUUCGCACUAGAAUCACGAGUACCCCUAAUUGAAAGAAUUCCAACGGAAGAUAUGACAAGGUCAAAUGAAUGAACAACAAGAGGAAACAAGAUGAAGCCAGAUGGAUCUGCACAAAAAAUGAAUGUGAGUUACAAAAGAACCGUAAUGGCUUGACUUAAACAAAAAGCAUAAAUGAAUUCCAGAGUAAGUAAAGCCUCGCAAAAUUAGGCAUGUCAUCACACAACAAAGGCUUUGAUAACGCAAAUACACUCUCUUUAAGUAUAAUGCAGAUAUAAAACCCAGUUAGCUGAGCAUGUGACUAUAACCCUCAGAAUCAUUUAACCAUAUCACCAAUGAAAACAUUAUGAGUUUCAUACUUCUGUAAAUUUCAUUCCUGGACAAAACCAGUGACAUGCUUGUGAAGAAACUGUAAGAAUUUCAUUUGUAAAGAUACUUGCCCUCAAUUUUGCAACGUUGCGCCAUGGUUCCCCCAAGUAUCAUGGCACUGAUUAUUUCAGCUGCAAUACUUUCAAAAAGAUCAGCACCUCGAGCAGCACAAUCACCCACAUUGUCUCCAACCUUUCAUGCAACAAUUUAUUAGUUACAGAAGAAGUUUGGACUGAUACACAGUAUACAUCAUGACCCAAGAAAACAGAACGUAGUCAAGGAAAAACCGCAUAAAUCAUUAACAAGAAGAAGAUAUUUAUGUGGUACUUAUUAUUAAUUUGAGCUUUCACGCACGCUUUGCCCAAAUUAUAUACAUUAAGCUGAAAGCCAAAACCAAGCAGCAGAGCUAACACAUACUUCUUCAAAUAAGAAAGCUACAAAAUUUAAGGGUAUUUACCAAAUCUGCAAUCACUGCAGGAUUCCUAGGAUCAUCCUCAGGUAUUCCCUGCUCCACUUUUCCAACAAGAUCAGCCCCAACAUCAGCAGCUUUUGUGAAUAUUCCACCACCCAACUGAGCAAACAGUGCGACAAAUGAAGCUCCAAAUCCAUAUCCCACAAGAAGAAGAGGCACUGGGAGAGAACAACAUGAAACAUUUCCAACUUAGUUGUAUGAGACAACAGCAAACUUCAGUUUUCACAAAAACAUUUAAAAAGGUGAAAUUGCUUCCAUUUGCUAAAGUCAUAGCAAUUACUUAGGAAGAAGGUAUUGUUACAUACAAUCAGUGACUUUCAUUGAACCAGGGGAAUCCACACCCAACCAAACAUAAAAUGUAGCAUAAAGGAUGGCUAUGCCAAUCACAGCCAUGCCAACCACCACCAAUGCAGAGAAACCACCAGCACGAACAGCUAUCUGCAUAAUAUAUUUUCCAGUCAAGAUACAAAUCACCAAUCAAUCAAGAAGACAAUGGAUUGUAAAAGGAACAACCUGCAAUGCCUCUCUAGCUGACCGUCUUGCAGCACUAGAAACUCUAACAUUUGCACGUACUGAUACCCACAUCCCAACAUAACCUGCAAUACCCGAACACAAAGCCCCCAAAAGGAAUGCAGCGACAGUGAUAUAUGCAGAUGUUGACCUGGACCAGAAGGAUAUAACCACAAAAACUGGUCACUUGUCACCAUGUGACAAAAACAUGGAACUAACACCUCACAACAAACUUUGACAUAUGUAAUCACCUUCCAAGGCCAGAAGAUUCUUGUUGAGGUGUUGUACUGCGGAACAGAUAUAUACAGAGGAUCACCAGCGCCAGUAACAGCGCCAUCUUAGAAAUAGUACUAUACUGGGUCCUAAAGAAGCCUUCUGCUCCAUCACGUAUUGCAUCUGAUAUCUAGAAAACAAGUUAAUGAUAUCAAGACAUGAAGCCAAUACAUAAAAACGAGAUACACUGACUAUAUGCACACAGUGGAAUUGACAUUUCUAGCUAAAUUCAAGAGAGACGAUAUACCUGAACCAUUUCAGGAGGUCCCUCAUCCUUUGAGAGUACCCAUUUGGUAAGAUAUAUAGAUAAAAUGAAGCUGAAGAUACAAACUGUGAAGACAAACACAAUGAUUGGAGAUGUACGUGCUCCAAUGUAAAAGAUCCCUCCAAAACCCAAUAGCAGAAGUAUAAAUAGAACACGAACAUUUAUCCGCUUAAACACUCGAAAAAUCUGCACAAAAAACAGUUAACUUAGUACAAGCAUCAAAAUCAUGUAAAGAAAAGCAAUGUUGCUCUACUAAGGAUUUAAAUUUAAAAGAAUCAUAAAUCAUCACAGCGCAAAAUAACUGAAAAAUCCUCUUCGAAAAAAGUAGGCCACACCCAAAUAGAUAUUAAUGAAUGCUCACGUGGACACGCAUAUUUAUGCUAUAUAAUCCCCUCACAACAAAACAAUAACAAUUGUCAUCAAAUAAGAGAUUGAGCAUUAGGCUUCUCACCAAUGGAUUAUAGGGUUUGCUUCGCAUGUUGGGGAAAAUCCUUGGCCUUUCUUGGUAAGGCCCCAAAUUACCAGUCUCAACAUCGUCAUCGAUCAUCAUUUUAUGAGAUGAAUUUACCCUUCGAGCUACAGGAAAAUGGAUGUCCUCACUGCCUUGGGGCAAGUCGCCCCCUGAACCAGGACGCUGAAUCUUGAAGGAUAGGUUGGUCUAAAAGCUCAAAUGAUCACCCCCUGAGCAGCACUUGACUUUGUAAAAUCAAAGGACUCCUGAGCUUUUUAAUCCUCUAAAUUAAUUAAUUCGGUAACUAAAAGCUCCUUCCCAGCUGGCAGCCCUUCAACACCAAAUCAACUUCCUGGAGAAAAAAAUUACGAAUGAUACCACGCAGUGCAGUUUCCACAUUCCACAUUAUAUCCUCUAAAAAAAACUAAAGGCAUAAGAGUAAGCUUAUAGGGAAAUCACUCAAAAGUGCGAUGCAUGCGGCAAUUUUGUGAAUUAGAACAUGAAAUGAAAACAGCACUGAUCAAAUCCAAUCCUUUCCUAUGAUCAUAGAUUAGAUUAGAUUAGGGCACAAAAUAACAACGAGAGUGAGUGAGAUUAAGAUUAAGAUUAAGGUUAAGAAUGGGUUUAGCAUUUUAACAUGCAAAACUAAAAAUUCUAGGUAAGAUCUGAACCCAAAAAAAAAAAAGUCUUCGGCAUUUGGUGAGUGGACUUUUCAAAAAGAUCUACUUACAAUUUCGGCAACAUAAUUAAAACUCCGAGCACAGGCGCUGCACUGCGUUUCGAUCUCGGACAGAGAGAGAGAUCUAUUUAUUUAAGUAUAAUAAAGAAAGAAGACAAGGAUGGAGCGGAAAGGACAGAGUACGGUACCGUUUUAAGGAAAGGUAACUGCCAUUAACGGAAGCCUUCGAUUUUCUAUAGCUUCUGUAUUUCGUCUCUCUGCGAGUUAAAUCAGACUUUUCUCUUCUUUCGCCUACAAAGAGAGGGAUGAAGAGAAAACUACUGCAUAUAUAUAAUAUAAUAUACUCUUUUCUCUUCCUACUUUCUAUACAGUAAGAGGGUAUUUGAAAGUAAGUUUUAAAAUGUUUUUUUAUUUAAAUUUGAUGUUUUUUUGUUUUGAAUUAAUAUUUUUUAGUUUUUAUAUUUUUUUAUAUAUUUAUAUUAAAAAUAAUUUUUUAAAAAAAUAUAUUAUAUUUAAAAUAUUUUUAAAUAAAAAAUAUUUUAAAACGUUAUCAGUAGAGAGAGAGAGAGAGGGUGAGUAACAAUUUGGAUAGAAAGAGAGAUCCUCUCAUUUUCAACUUUCUUUUUUCCUUUUUAAUUACAAAGAACUUAUUUGUCACCCAACUAUACAUAAAUCUCGACUAGGUCCCUAGACAAAAAUAAUUCUCAAUUAGACCCAACCAAUCACUAGUUAGUAGCUAACUACUAUCAUUGAAAUCUAUGACAAAAACUACUUUUUAUUAAGACAAUAAGUCCUUGCUUUUUAUGAUUUUAAAGGAAAAUAUUUAAUAUGAGGGUUAAUUGGGUAACUUAAAAUAUAAGGAUCCACCUGGAAAUGUUUUUGUUUGGGAUCUAAUUGAGAAUCAAGUGAUAGUUGGGGGAUCAACAUCUUCUUUUUUUCUUUUUCUUUUUCUUUUUUACUUUCCAUGAGAUUGGUAUAUUAAUUAAAAGAAAAUUUCGGUGGUUGAUUAUUAAAGUUGAAAUAAUGAUGCUGAUGGCAUAUUCUGCUUUGUCAUCUGACCAAUGGCAGUCUGCAACGUGGGCAUCUCAAUAACACGUGGAUAUAGCUACUUCUAAAAGUAAAACAUAUCGUUUUCUCUAUUUACUGAAAAUAAUACUAAUGAUAAAAAAAAAAAUAUCUUACUUGUUGUAAUCUUACUUGUUGUAUUUGUGCACUCUUGUUUUACUUAUUUCAAAAGGAAAAAACAAUAAGAAAUAAAUUAAUGUUAAAUAUUAAGAUAUCUUAACUUUUUUUUAUUUAUGAUAGCUACUAUUUUUAUUUAUUUUUUAUUAUUUUAAAAUAAUUUUUAUUUUUCAUGAAAUCAAGAAUUAUCUGUUAACACCAACAACUCAAUCAGAUAACCAUAUCAACAAUAGAAAACUAAAAACAAAUUUCAAUAAUCUAUAUACAGUCAUUAAAGAACAAAAAAGGUUAAAAUAUUAAAAAAAAAAUCAAAAAUCUCAAAAAUCAUUAAAUAACAAAAAAUUAAAAAAAACAAUUAAAAAAUCUCAACAAUCUCAACAAUCUAUAUACAAUCUUUAAAGAAUAUAAAAAUUAAAACAAAUUUCAAUAACAAUUAUAUAAUUAUUAACAGCAGAAAAAUUAAAAAAUUCCAAUCAACAUUUAUAAAAUUAUUUAUAAAAUAAUUACAAAAUUUCCAUUAACAUUUAUACAAUUAUUAAUAACAUAAAAAAAAUUUAAAAAUAAAAAAUUAUCAAUAAUAUUUAUACAAUUAUUAAUAACAGAAAAAAUAUUAAAAAAAAGGAAAAAAAAGGAAAAAAAAUUACCUUAAUGUAAAGUUUUCUCGAGCCUAAAAAAAGAAAAAAAUCAAACAAAUCAUUAAAUAAUAAGAGAAUAAAAAGAGAAAACAUCGAAGAAAAAGAGAAGAGAAUGGGUUGAUGGGAGGGAGGGGGAGAGAGAGGGAAGAAAAAGAUGUGCUUGUCUGUUUUGAUUUUAAAGAUUCUGGUCUUUUAAUUUAGGAUUUUUAUACCGAAAUUUUUUCUGACGGUAAAUUAAAUAUUAAUAUUUUUAAUUUUUCUGUCUAUGUAUAUGUCUGUAAAGUUUAGUUGAAAUCUAUAAUUUAAUCAAAAAAUUUCAGAAACAUGACAAGUAUUACUGACAUUUUUAUUGUCAGACAAUCAAAAAUUAAUAUUUUAAUUUUUCCGUCGGUGUAUUGUCUGUAAAGUCUUGUUGGAAUUUUCAAUUUAAUAAAAAAUAUUCAGAAACCCGCCACGUAUCAUCGAUGUCUUUAUUGAUGGUAAAUUAAAUAUUAAUAUUUUGAUUUUUUCGUUGGUGUAUCCUUCUGUAAAGUCUAAUUGAAAUUUUUUAUUUAAUACAAAUUUUCAUAAAUGCACCAGUAUUAUAGAUGUCUUUACUGUCAGAAAAUUAAAAAUUAAUAUUUUAAUUUGUUCAUCAAUGUAUUCGUCUGUAAAGUCUAAUUGAAAUUUAGUCCGUAAAUGAUUCCGUUUAUAAAGAACAGUAACAAACAAUGCAAGUGAAAAGUGAAGAAUACCUUGGCUCUCGAGAAAAUAUCGAUAUAUCUUAACCAUCAGUUAUCUCAUAUAUACUAAACAAUAAGCAAGUGAGAAGUGAAUAAUACAUUAGCUAUUGGGAAAAUACCGACAUACAUUAACCUUCGGUGAUUUUGUUUAUACUGAACAGUAAUAAACAGUGCAAGUGAAAAAGUAAACAAUAUCUUAGAUCUCAGAAAAAUGCUGACAGGCAUUAAUUGUCGGUGAUCUUGCAUGUGUUAAACACAAUGAAUAGUGUCAGGAAAAAAGAUAACAAAUCCAAUUAUAUUAUAACAAAAGUUAAAUGGUGUAGGGAAAUCACUGUAGAUCAAGAGAACUUUUAUUAUGGAUUGUAAUAGUAGUUUCACUUUUAAUUUCUUAUCUUUUCAUGAGACAUUUAUUUGGCUUUCGUUUUCUUCUCAUUCAUUGAUUCUUCUCUACAACUUUAGCGCGUUAGGUCAGGCUUGGUUGCCGCAACCACACUAAACCCACAUACAUCAUGGGUCUGACAAUCAUUCAAGACCCAAGAGCCUUGGGUAUGACAACCAUUCUAGGCUCAGGUGCCUUGGGUCUGACAACCACGCCAGCCCCAAGCUACUAGGAUCUGACAACCAUGUUUGGGUCUAACAUGCUUGCCACACCCAGGCGCGGGUCUGCUUGGCCUGCGCUUGGAUUAAAAAAUCUAAAAAAUUUUAGAAGCACGAUUGGACUGCAAAAACAAACAUUGACUCAUUCAAGCAGGAUUUUUCAUUCAUAUGCAGUAGAACUUAAAAGCAAAAUCCUUUUUGUUUGUGCAACUUAUUUUAUAAAUUUGUUAUGUUCAAAAAGGAAAUAAUGAAAAAAAAUAUUGAGUUCUACGUGAUUUAUUUCAAGUUUUCAAAAAUAAACUUUUCUUUUAUGUGUGCAUUGUGGAUGGAAAUAUAUAUGAUGAAACUAAACACUUAUAGUCCAAUAUUGUUAAAAAAAUUAUAAAAUAUUGUUGUGCGUUAGUGAAAAAUCACAAAGGACCACCCAUUAAAUAACCGUUUUUUUUCAUUGAGUUUAAUUAAAAUAUAUAUAUAAAAAAAGAGAGAGAAAAAAAGAGAAGAUAGAAUUUCUAUUGAAGGAAUAACAAAUUCAUAUAUAUAUAUAUAUAAUUAUUUCAAUAGGAAUAUAUGAUUUGAAUUUUUAGAUCUCAAAUGUUAAAUUAGAUUUUGUAAUGAUUUGUUGUUUAUAAAUAAUUAUUGAACUUGAAUUUCUUUUUAGGAUAUAGUUUAAAUGUUUUUUCUUAUAAAAAAUAAUAAAAAAAUACAAGUCUUAAUAUUUUAAUUAUCAUAUGCCAGACUUGGGUGUGGCAUGACCGUCAAACCCAAGAUGUUUAAAAUAUUCUCUGUACUUUUAGUAUUUUUUUUACAUUUAAAAAAAAUUAUUAUUAACUCGCUACGAAGCGCGGGACAAUAUACUAGUAUUAUACUGGCCAGUAGCAGUAGCAGCCGUAAAAGAGGAAUAAAACGAAGAUGGAUAGGAAUAGGACGAAUGUAAUAUCUGUUUUGAUUCCUCCAGUCCCCCUGAAAACAGACUGCUUGCUGCUCUCUAUUUGUAAUCUAUGCUUGCGUAGCUCAAUCAAAAAUCAAACAGGUUAUGAUUGGAAAUGGUCUAUAAUAUAAUAGAAGCCCUCAACUAACGCAAGCCCUCUACUUUACUAGCUGCUUGCAGAAAGAAUUCAUGAGUAAAUAAAAGGACUACAAGUUGCAAAUGCAGCGGGGAAGGGGUUAUCUUUUCACUGGGAUGCAUUCAGAUUGAAAUAAUGCUUGGAGAGAAAAUGAUCACUUCAAGUUUUAGUGGAGCUGCACUAGGUGUCAGCCGGGCCCGCGCCUGCACAUAAGGACACCUGGUGCUUGGGCUGACCUGACCUUGUGCUGGGUUAAACUCGAUCGCCACGUGACGCUGGGGCUGACUGCCCUUGCGCUGGGCAGCCCGAAGCCCAGGUGGCGCUGGGCUGGCUUCCCUUGCCCUGGGCGGGAGCCAGGCUCACGCCUUCACGUGAGGACACCUGGCGCUUGGGCUGCCUGCUCUUUUGCGGGGUCAGACCCGCGUGCCCAUGUGGUAGUGGGGACUGGCUUGCCCUAAUCCCAAGGCUAAGGGUCAAACCCGACAUGGCGCUGGAGCAAAAAAUAAUAAUAUUUUUUAGUAUCAAUACUUUCAAUGAUAAUAAACAUAAUAGUCUUUGUACCCCAAAUAAUAUUUUAUUUUGAUAUUAAUAGUUUGAACUGCACUAAAAAUAAAUAUUAUUACUUUCAAUUAUAAUAAAAAUAAAAAUAUUUAUACCGGAAAUAAUUAAACCUUUUAUAUUAAUGCUUUGAACUAUAAUAAAAAUAGUAAUGUUUAUAACACAAAUAAUAGUGUUAAUAUUAAUACCUUCAACUAUAAUAAAAAUAAUAAUAUUUAUGGCACAUCAACAACAAGUUUUAUUUUUAUUCUUCAAAUCAACUAUAUGAUUUUUCUUGGGUGGUAAUAAUAUUUUAAGCCUGGACGCGUCCAUGCCGAACCCCAAGUUGGGUAUGGACGUGUACAUGUGUGUUAAUAUAAUAAUGUGUUAUAAAUAUUAUUAUAAUUAAUAGUAUGAAUAUUAAAAUUAUUAUAUAAAAUAAAAAAUUAACCCACCACAUAAGUAACUCACUAAUUUUUAUCUUUUUAUUUAAAUAAUAUUAUUUUUCCACUUUUAGAUAUCAUGAACAUUUUUUUUUGUAUCUAUUUACUAUCACUGUAAUUGUUUCAUUUGAUGAAAACAAACCCGUUGACCACUAAAAAAGGGAGCCACUCUGCCAGACAACCGCAUGACCCUCUCCAGCCAAAUCAAUAGCUGGACGCGGUCUCCGUAGGCCAAUGAUAAUCACAACAAUCAUCAAGCCGUUACUCACCGCUAUGAUCACACGGUCUUAUAGAACAGAUCCUAUUCCAGUAAGGCCUUACCUAAUGUUCUUCCUCCACACUUUAUUACCGCUUUUAAUCCUUUGUUUGUUUCCAAUGUGGGAUUCUUGUAAUGCUUCGUUCCAGGGUAUAUUUGUCCAGAAGAAGAAAGUUUGCGCGCCUUGUGCUUCUCAAAGUCCUGAUAAAAUCCAAAGGAGAGUGCAGUGAAAGUACUAGGAUACCCCCUGAGCCGCUGCGUUGUUAUUGCGGUAGUAUUUGUUAAUUUUAUACGGACAACUCGUAGGAGGCUUCUUUGGAGUGUAAUAGUCUAAGAGUUUCAAGCUUUUACAGGUUUUCCAUUACACUUUAUGCCUGGCAGUAGCCAUACUGAUGACAUUAGAGUUGCCCUAUUUGCAUAAUUAGAUCUUGAAUUGGCCAACAAUUGUCACGAACCUUUUUGAACAAAUUAGAUUGUCUUCGGUUGUGACCAUUGAGCUAUUGGCCAUUGGAUAUGUACUCCUUAAGCAGCUGUGAGCUGAGCCUGGUAAGUUAACUUUGUACUGAAGAACAGAUAAAAGAAAGUGCGUAUGGAUAUUGCAGCGUCUUUGCCACAGGAAACAUUGGACUUCAAUAAGGUGUUAGUCAAUGAUGAUGAAUGGUAACUACAGACACAAGAGUAAUGCUAAACAUUAUUAUUACUUGAUCCAUGGUAAACUACAAAGCAAAGCAAGGCAAAUACGCUGAGACCGAGACAGGCUUCACACACACACACAAUUAAGCACUGAUCAGUAAUCUACUUCAAAAGAACUUUAGCUACUUGGCUAGCUAUAGCUGUUGAGAGUUUGCUUCAAUUUCUUUGAUUAAAACCCAUCCCUUUCAUAUCCCUGAAGCUUCAACUUCCGUGACUAGGAUGGAGGACCCCAUAUAACAAUUUUAUGAUCAUCACUAGCAGAAGCCAGCAUGUGAAUAUUUGUUGGGUUCCAGCUCACGCAGUUCACAGUUCCUGUAUGAAUUGAUUGCAGUUGCAUGAUUGGAAUCCUUUGGCCUCUAUGCCAUAUGAACACCUGCAAUUAAUAUCACACGGAUCAAUCAUCAAUCCCAAGCUAUCUUAACAAAUGAUCGAGACAAAACAUGAUCACAGGUUGUAUAUUCCAAGUAGUAUUCGCCCUGUGUUAAUUCAUGGAUAACACCACAACAAACUAAACAACAAAAGGUAUAGUUUAGAUAAUUAGAACAGUGUUUCAAGUAAUUUUCUAUUAAUCUUCAGUAGCAUCGUUUCUCAUGGAAGAGAACCUCAAAUAUUUUAACUCAGAUUUAUUACAGAAAAUCACAGUACGUACCCGAGAAUCCUCACUCCCACUCGCUAUAAAUGUUUCUUCUAAUCCACCAAGACAAGAUCUGAUGAUAAAUCGUGUGCUUAUCCGACCUUCAUAUCUGCUGAUGAGGCCCUCAUAACCUUCUAGAAGACUCCAAAAAUGGAUUCCUCGGUUUAGCAGAUUAACGAGAAGGACUUUGUUGUCAUUCGAUAAUGAGAAGGAAGUAAUCACACCCUCUUGCGGAAGCAGUCUCAAAAUUUUUUUCUUUUCCCUGUCAAUCACUGCUAUCGAGCUAUCUUCGUAUAUGCUUAAGAUUCUAGUUCCAUCAUUAGUUAUGGCCAUUUCCGACAUCCUGAGUGCAUAGUCUUUCCAAGAAUCCAGCUCCGCUCCUUCCAAAUCCAACAGGAUGAUGCUCUGGUCAGUCGUACCAGCAAGUAUAAACCCAACAGGACACCAUGCACAGGAAAUAAAACCAAAAUCAGUUCUCUCAUAAACAUGGAGCAACCGUCCCGAAUUGGCUUCCCAUCGUUUGAUAACCUCUCCUUCGCCACAAGUAAGUAACUGGUCAUCAUCAGGGCUCCAUGAAACAGUCAAAACUGGUUUCUCAUGACCAAGUAUAUGCCCAAAUAACACUUCACCGCCAUCUGUAACCUGAAUGAGGAAUUAAGAAGAAGAAUAUAUGAUGGAUCAUGUAGCGGGAGAUGACCAUGUAGAUCAUCUUCAACGGCAUACUUACCUUACGCUAAAUGUCCAUGUGCUAUGCAAAUCAAGGAAAGCAUAAUAUUGUUGAGAAGAAGGAUAAAAAGAUUAAAGAAACAUUAAUAUUACCUCCCAUAUGAUUGCUGAUUCAUCCUUGGACGAUGAUGCCAAAUACUUUCCGUUAUGUGAAAAUUGCAGAAACCAGACUUCAUCAACGUGCAUGCUCAGAAUCUGUCCAAUUAUCAUAAACAUAAAGGAUUCAUACAGCAAUUUCACAGAAAUGUGCAGCAUAUUCAUGGUAGGCGGGAUCGAUGCUACGAGACGCAGUAACAAUGAUUACAAAAGCAGCGAAAUAUUUUAUAUACCAUACAACUUUUAAUGUUGAAAUGUAGUGAUGAUUUGAACACUGUGAAUCUGUAUGUUUGGUGAGAGAAAGAUAUGCAAGGCCAUUGGAUUAUGAAAAGAGCAACAACAACUUACGAUUACAUAAGGCUGAUGUUCAAGAUUACACUAACAGUAAUACUCGUUUAAGAACAUCAGCCUUAGUGUAAUAAUUUACAUUAUAAGCUUUGGUUUUUAUCAUAAAAAAUCAAAAAAUAUUUUAAUCUAAAAGUUUAAUUUUUUUUUAUUAAUUAGAAUUGGAUGAUGAAAUUUGAAUUUGUAACCACUUGAUCAAUAAAACUAUAAUAUUAUAUUAAAAAAUCUUCUCAAUUUAAAAAUUUAAACCGUUAAAGUUUCAAUUCUCUGACAAAAACAAUUACAUAAAUCUAAAUUUCUUUGAAGGCCAAUCAGAUAGUACCCAAAAAAACAGAUAUGUAUAGGACAGAAAGGAAUUAAAAAAGGGGACCAUCAGCCCUGAAGACAUCUAAGUUCUAACCUGCUUUGCUUGACAAGGAAGCCGGCUCAUUCCACACUUAUGAUCCGAGUACAAAGAGACAUUUCUAUCUGAAAUAUUGUGAUACAGGCAGCUUAAUCGUCGCAGACUAAUAGCCUCCUCAAUAAUACUUUCUAACCUUGUUGGAUGAAUCAUGAGUGACGGAGGAAGAAAGUUAUGUAGUUUCUCUAGAAUCUCUGGCCUUGACUCAAUGUUUAGAUCCUCUGGAGGAGAGAUGGUACAGGAAGCAAGUUCUUGAACACGGUUAGAAUUUAUAUCAAGAGGCGCAAUUUUUUUCCUUAGAGUAUUUAAGGAAUCAAGAAUAUGAUCGUCCCUCAGAAAUUCGAGGAACUGCUGCUCCCAUAUCAAGAAUGAUGCCUGAGAAGUCAGGGUUGAUUUGUCCAGAAGACUGAUCGCAUGCAACGUUUCCACACUUUGAUCCCAGUUUCCAGCCAACACUUGGUUCUUGAACGAGCUAAUCUCUUGUGAUUGCAAUGGUAUUCCUGAUUGGUUCUCCAAAAGGGUUCCAAUCUCCUCAUAACCAAGCGAGUGCAAUGCCCUUGUUAUGAUUCUGACAAAUUCAGUUCUUUUGACGACUCCUUUUGAGCCAACUGUCUCCACAAGCUGAGCCAUGUCGUCCAAAGAGAAAGAUGAGUUUUCCAAGAAGCCUUUCCACUCUCCCAGAAACCACGUGUGAUCUGUGAAGAAAGAUGAACCGAAGAUUGAGAAUUGUAUCAUCUUAAAAAAGGCAUAUCAAACAAAAGAAAUGUACUAAAAAGGAAAGAAAUAUGGAUGAGCCAAGACAGCAAUCACGUACAGUCGUUGAGAUUGACGAAGAAAGUUAAAGAAAGGAGCAAGGAAAUCUUGGGGGGGAGGAUCUUUAAUUUGCAACAACAUUGAGGGUGUUGCCAGUAAUGAUUUGGAUUAGCAAGUUAUUGAGGCAUUAAAGCAGUAGCAGCAUUUGUAAAAAAGAGAGCAAAGAACUUGAAGGCAGAGAGCAAAUUAAGCAUCCAAAGAAAGACCACAAAUUGAUGAAAACAGCAAAGAACAUACAAUUAAAAAGAGAGAAAGAUUACCUAGAGAGGGAGAGAGAGCGUUUUCCAAAAUCUAAUGGAGACGGGAAGGAAGAAGAGACAGCAUUGCGUAGAAACAAAGAGGAGGAGGAGACAAAGGCAACACCCAAAGUUACAGAGAGGGCUGGCUCUCUCUCCCUCUCUCUCUCUCUCGGCUAAUUCUUUUACUUUAAGAUGGAUGCGAUAUCUGUUUUGAUUCCUCCAGUCCUACUUAAAACAGACGACUGCUUGCUGCUCUCUAUCUGAAAUCUCCGUUUGCGUUGCUCAAUCAAAAAUCAAGCAGUGUCUCGUCUUUCUGGAGGGAGGUACGUACGUAUGCAGUAGCUACUAGCUAGGCUAUAACUAACUAACUAACUAACUAACUAACAGAAGCCAUUUGUUUAUGCUGAUCACAUCUCUAAAUGCAAUAGGAUCGAUGCACCGCAUCACACACACACACACACACCUCUAAAUUUAAAAGAAAAAUAUUAAUGCAUUGUUUGGGGGGGGGGGGUUGAUUAGGGAUAUUUUUAUCGGCUUUGCCUUUUUUUAAAAAAAAUAAAAAAAUAAAAAAUAAAAUAAAAUUGAAAGGCAUUCAUUCACCCAUUUAAAACUCUAACUGUGGUCAACCGUGUGACUUGUUCCGUGCACGCCUGUCACCCCCGCGGUGCCUUACCUGCUCCUGGGCUUGCAGGAUGUCCAGUGGGCCGUGGGGAAUAGUCGUUGUGCGCGUAAGCUGGCCCGGACACCCCACGUAAAUCAAAAAAAAAAAAAAAAAAGACUCUAACUUAACUCGAACAGGAUUAGGAUUAUCUGCUUCUAUCCCUUCUCGGAUCAUUAAUUCCUUUCAUCUUUCUAGUGUUUUCUAAAUCUCCUCUCCUUUCAUGGGAAUUAAUCCUACCUUGAAAAAUUAUAUAUAUUAGGUAAUUUCGGAGUUAAAUUCACCUUCACGUGAGAAGAAGAGUACAGCUUCGAAUUAAUUGAAAAAAAAUAUUCAUCUUCUGCUUUUAUCCAUAUAUAAUUGUCUUCUGAUUUCAUCUCCAAAUUCUCAUCCUCCAGUUCAACAAAUCCUCCACACAAACUUAAUUUGUUGUCGUGGUAAAACAAAACUAGCUUGAAGACAUAAAGCAACAUUUGUUUUAGUUUCACCACUCAGCUUUAACAUAUAUAUAUAUAUAUAUAUAUUUGUUUUGAGGAUUUCUUUGAUGAAUGUAAGUUUUCUUUUCUUUUUUAUUAUUAUUAUUGAUGUGUUAUUUAAUAUAUUGAUUUAUCACAGGCUUGAACUGGUUUUUUUGAAGUAAAAAAGAAAGAAAAAACAGUUUUAGAAAUAAGACGAUUUAAGAAAGGGCCAGGCUGAAACCAAUAACAAGAAAAUUAUUUGGGCCGGUCCUCGUAGACCCAUAAAAAGGAAAGGCCUAGCCCAAGGAAAGCGUUUGAAAGACAGACAGGCCGACAAAAUCAAUUGGGAGCGACCGGCUUCUUAUUUAAGGUUGUUUAUUUGUGGCUUUGGAAUUUGGAUUUGGGUUUGGGCGUGUCUUAAAUCCAAAACUCCCGUCUCUCUCUCUCUUUUCGGCUCUAUACUGCAUUUAUAUCUCCUGGAAGCAGAAAACCUCCAUUCUCUGUCCCUCUUUACUUCCAGAGAAAGACAAGGGGAGAAGAAGCUAUCUAUAGCUAUUCUGAGACUUCUUUCUUCAUCAAUUAAUUAGAUUCUCUGUUAUCAAUCAGGUAUGCACAAUUCUACUCGAAAACAAAUCCCCCCCCCCCCCACUAGAUCUAUUCGAGUUGUAGUUGCCGAUUAUUCUAUCUUUGCUUGUCUUGUUUCACGAGAUUUACUCGCUUCAAGUCUUUGCCUUUAACUGUUUUCUCUUAAGUUGAUUUAUCACUAGAAUAGAUCUAUUUUGUCAGUAUUAUCAACAAAUCUGAUUUUUGUUUAUGUUUAGUGAAUUAAUAUGUUGUAGUAAUAAUAAUAAUAAUAAUAAUAAUCUGAUUUUUUUUUAUUUGUUCUGUUAUAAUAUUAAUCCUAUUAGGACGGUUACCCCUUUAUCAUGCUUCUGUUGUGUAGUGUUAGUAUGAUACAAGUAAUUAAAAAAUUGAGAAUUAAUUAUUGUUAUUGUUAUGCCCUUAAGUGCAUUUGUCUUCUUUGAACAAGCUGUCUAUCUAUACCAUUACUAAAACAUUUAUUUCAUAACAGACUAACAAACUGCUGCAAUGGGAAAGAAGCAAAAGGAGGAUGCUAGUGGCGCACCCUCAAAGGCUAAGGCUGGCAAUAAAGAUGCAAAGAAGGAAAAACUAUCAGUCACUGCUAUGUUGGCUAGCAUGGACCAGAAACAUGACAAACCUAAGAAAGGUUCUUCGUCAACCGUAACGUCUAGCAAGCCCAAGCCAAAGUCAGCUCCUUCUUACACCGAUGGAAUUGAUCUUCCUCCGUCUGAUGAUGAAGAGCCGAAUGGCUUGGAAGAAGAGCAACAGCAGAAUGAUCCAAACAAGAGACCCAGUCAGCGGAGGUCUGAAUUGAAGCCCCUUGAUGUAGCCAUAUCGGAUAAAGAAUUAAAAAAACGUGAAAAGAAGGAAGUUCUUGCUGCCCAUGCCAUUGAGCAUGCGAGGCAGGAGGCCCUUAAAGAUGACCAUGAUGCUUUCACGGUCGUCAUUGGAAGCCGGGCUUCUGUCCUUGAUGGGGAAGAUGAAGGUGAUGCAAAUGUCAAAGAUAUAACAAUAGAGAAUUUUUCUGUCUCAGCUCGGGGGAAAGAACUGCUUAAAAAUGCAUCUGUGAAGAUAGCACAUGGACGGAGAUAUGGUUUGGUUGGGCCCAAUGGAAUGGGCAAGUCUACACUAUUGAAGCUCCUUGCUUGGAGAAAGAUUCCCGUGCCAAAGAAUAUUGAUGUGCUUUUGGUUGAACAGGAGGUCAUUGGUGAUGAUAAAACAGCUUUACAAGCAGUUGUUUCAGCUAAUGAAGAACUUGUCAAACUCCGAGAAGAAGUUGCCUCCCUGCAGAAAUCUGACGGCCCUGCUGAGGGUGAAAACAAUGGUGAUGAUUAUGAUGAAGAUGAUGCUGGAGAGAGGCUUGCUGAAUUGUAUGAAAAAUUGCAGUUGAUGGGAUCAGAUGCUGCUGAAUCACAGGCAUCAAAGAUUCUUGCUGGGUUGGGUUUCACCAAGGAUAUGCAGGGCCGUCCAACUAGGUCUUUUAGUGGUGGCUGGAGGAUGAGAAUUUCACUGGCAAGGGCACUUUUUGUGCAGCCUACUCUUUUAUUGCUUGAUGAGCCUACCAACCAUCUUGACUUGAGGGCUGUUCUCUGGUUGGAGGAGUAUCUGUGCCGGUGGAAGAAAACUUUGGUUGUUGUCUCACAUGACCGAGAUUUCCUCAACACAGUUUGCAAUGACAUCAUUCAUCUACAUGAUCAGAAACUUGACUCCUAUCGUGGAAAUUUUGAUGACUUUGAAGUUGGGUAUGAGCAGAGGCGGAAGGAGACAAACAAGAAGUUUGAGAUUUAUGACAAGCAGAUGAAAGCUGCCAAGAGGAGUGGGAAUCGGGUUCAGCAGGAAAAGGUCAAGGAUCGAGCAAAGUUUGCUGCAGCCAAGGAAGCAGGAAAGAAUAAGGGCAAGGCUAAGGUUGAUGAGGAUCAAGCCCCACCCGAAGCUCCAAGGAAGUGGAGAGAUUACAGCGUUGAGUUCCACUUUCCUGAACCUACUGAGCUUACACCACCACUCUUGCAGCUCAUUGAAGUGAGCUUUAGUUAUCCAAAUCGGGAGGAUUUCAAGUUGUCAAAUGUUGAUGUGGGCAUUGACAUGGGGACCCGUGUUGCUAUUGUUGGACCCAAUGGAGCUGGCAAAUCCACUCUCCUAAAUCUUCUUGCAGGUGAUUUGGUACCAACCGAAGGUGAAGUGAGGCGGAGUCAGAAGUUGAGGAUUGGAAGGUACUCGCAGCACUUUGUGGAUCUUCUUACAAUGGAUGAAACACCUGUACAAUACCUUCUUCGUCUCCAUCCAGACCAAGAGGGGCUUAGCAAACAGGAGGCUGUUCGGGGGAAGCUUGGCAAAUUUGGACUUCCCAGUCAUAAUCAUCUUACCCCUAUUGCAAAAUUAUCAGGUGGGCAGAAAGCCCGAGUUGUCUUCACAUCAAUAUCAAUGUCAAAGCCCCAUAUUCUACUUUUGGACGAACCCACAAACCACUUGGAUAUGCAAAGUAUUGAUGCCUUGGCUGAUGCGCUUGAUGAAUUCACUGGUGGGGUAGUCCUGGUCAGUCACGACUCUAGAUUGAUAUCACGUGUCUGUGAGGAUGAAGAGAAGAGUGAAAUUUGGGUGGUGGAAGAUGGAACUGUGACUGCUUUUCCGGGGACAUUUGAAGAGUACAAAGAGGAGCUACAAAAAGAAAUUAAGGCUGAGGUUGAUGAUUAAGGUUGCAGUUACAAUACUUAUUCUUUGCAUCGGUAAGUUAAUUGAGAUUUUGCUGGCAGUUGCUGCAUUUGUAUUGGCUAGUACUAUAAAUGCAUCUUUCAUCAUUUUAGUUUGAUUGCUUGUGUGGCAGAGAUGCAGGGAAUAAAAGUGCUAUCCCUACCUACAUUUUUUGGAAUGCGAAUGAAACUAAUUUGUUUUAGCGUUUUUCUCGUUUGUUUUAGCGAUUUUCUCAUCAGUGUCUGCUUUUUAUUUACACGCCAUUACAAUAAGCUUUCAUCAACGCUGCCCGUGCAUGAUGUUUUGCACAGGGGAAUGAUGAGCUGAACUGGUAUUUUGAUUUCAAUUUUCUUUGAACCAUUAUUUCUCUCUGGUCGUUCCUGGCUUCUUUAUUGCCUCACUCUCGCAUCUUUCCUUUAAAUCCCUCCUUUAUGGUGAUCGAUAAGAACUUGAAAUGAUUCCAGUUUGCAGUUUAGGGUUUAAUUUGAAGCUUGUUGCCUCUUCUUUUGUGAUGAAAACUUGCUGGUGACUUGCUUUCUUGACUUUUUACCACUGGAUAUUGAGAUACGCAGUCCACAUUUCUAUGUUGACAUGUUUUGCUGAUUAAGUUCCUUACUUCACAACAUAUUUCAUAUAUCUAAUCCAGCUCGCAAGACAUUCAAACUCAUCCAUUUUGGAGUUUUGCAAUAUUCCCAUUUAAAUCUCCUCAAGGUCCUAAUCAGGGUGAAGGAGCUAGCUCAGGAAUGAUACUGUCUUCAACAUGAACUGCAUGGGAAUGUAGAAACUUGAUCUGCAUCCCAUAAUCGAGCAUCGUUUAUGGAAAGCGCUGAACAACAGCUUGCCCACAGAAUUCACUUGCCAAAUAGAAGAAUUCAGCAUGCAGGAUGUAGUUCAUGCGGAGAUCACAAGUAAAAACAUAGACCACCAUCCAGCGAUCGCUCGAGAGUAUGCAGCUUCUGGUUUUCUAGUCUUCUAGGCAUGAAAUUGAAAAUGAACUCUCUCAGCGUUUCCUAGAACGGUUCCUGCAGCUUGGUAGCAAUUUUCCAUUUCCCAUGCUCACAGGUGUUGUAAUAAUUGCUCCCGGCCGAGCUCAGAUGGCCAAGCUUGAUGAUACAAUAACAAAGGUUAAUCACCUGCACAUCCCCCCUUCACAAGUCAUAAAUUUCCAUGGAAAUCUCAAUUUGGUAAAUUUUGAAAAAAUCGCCUCUUCAUCUCGAAUCCAGUUAGCGCGUAGAAAUCCAAAAUAGUUGAAAGAAGCUUUGGGAAUUAAAAUAAACAGUUACUAAAAAUUAAUGUAGUAAAAAGGCAGACUGAUACACAAUGGGAUUCAACGGGCAUCAACAAUGAACAUCUUGGAAUAAAGACACGCUAUCUAACAAAUAACCCAAGUAUAAAUUAGAAAACUCUAAUACACAGGCAACAGAUCCCGAAUGAAGCCUUGAGUGAAUGGGAUGGAAGAGCUCCACCCCAAGCACAAUGAAUGGUCCAUCUGCAAGCAUGCACGCAAUGACAUAUUCUCCACUCCUCCAUGUUAAAUGUCUUUCGCAAUAAGCAGCAACAGUGCUUCGGCAACUUUACUUGUAGUGCAGCAAAUGUUUCCCUCCGAUUUUACAAGAAAUAUGGAACGCCUGUCCUGGGCCCUCUCAUAUGGUUGUUCUCCUCCGUUUCUGUAAAAAACUUCACUUCCCUCUCCUAUGAAAUGACACAAAAAAUGAACACGGAUGAACAACAUGAAUUUCACAAACAGAAAACUAAGGGUACAGAUGGGGAUGAUUAAGGAAUUUUCCCAUUGAAAAAAGUACAAGGACAUAUCCAGUAGUUUCAGAUUCAUAAUAAUGUAAGCUGAAAAACAAGGGUUCUGAAACGGUACUGGGUUUGAAAACAUGAAGUUGCAGCAGUGCAGAACAGCAACUUCAUAACUGGGCAAUGACCUUUCUAAGCAUGUGCAUAUAUCACCACAUUUAAUUAAAAAGGUACAAAGAACACAAUUAAAUAUCAUUUAUCAUUGAAUAGAAAGGAAGUAAAAGCACUUAAGCUCUUUUAUUCUCACUUGUCUAUACAAUCAAAGUGUUUCCCAUACAGAUAUUAUUAGUUUCAAGGGCACUAACUAAUACGCCAUAAUACUCAGGAUAGGCACAAUUCUAUAAACUCUGCAAUAAAAUUGUGGUGUUUUUAGUAUAUAAUCAAAUUAUGAAAGAUAAACAAGGACAAACAAUACGACAAAAUUACAACAGCAUUUAUUAUUAGCAUGCGUUCCUUGAUCCCACAUAAGAACAUAGGCAGUAUACAAGUCUCCGAUACUCACCAUAUUCUCAUUGAAGCUCAGUAUAGAAGCUACAUUUCCACAGCGGUAACAGUAAUUUGGUGCAGACCAGACCUGCAAAUUUUACAGACCAGGAAAAUUACCAAACUGCUUGGAUAAGUCUGACAACAUGAAUUUAAGAGGUUCAGAGUCUUUACAGUGACUAAGCCUUUAUCUUGAAACAUGUACUUGAGACCUUCUUGUACAAGUUGGUGUGCUCGACAAACCAAAUCAAGAUUGUUAAUGUAGUUGAACUAUGAAAAAAAGAAAACUAACUGUCAGAUCAAUAUGACAUUUGUUUCCAGUGAAUGGGACAUGUUCCUAUUAGAGGUCAGGUUCAUUACCUCAGAAGUGACCCUGGACCCAAAAAGCCAACCUGCUCCUCGGGGACUAACUGCCCAUGUCUCAAUAUCUUCAGGAUCACUCCACAUGAGAUCACAGAAUGGUCCUUCAUGUGGAAUUUCACAAUUCCGUUCAAUUACUCUUAUCUGCCAUAUUAUAGGGAAAAUGCAAGAUUUUGUAUCAGAACUACCCAUGAGAACAAAGCAGCAGGAACCUUUAUAGACCAACAUGUCGUGUGACCAAUGGAGACUCUCUCUCUCCAUAUUGUGUAUUGCUGAAAUGCACAAUUCUUCAGCUAAACAAAUACAGGGAAAAGAAAAACACCUGAUCGAUAGUUCGGAUGUCAGGAGAAAGACCACCAUGGACGCAAAGCACCUAGAGGAUAAAAAACAACAUCAAGUGUAACAGGUAUUGAAGCAGAUGCAAAUACAGAGCCAUCUACAUAAAUGAACAGAGAUUUAGAGAGGAAAAGGCUGCAGUAUUCAAAGAGCAAGAAAUGGGCUGCAGUAGGGGGGUUGCACUUACAGUGCCAUCUAUAAUCGCUGAGAGUGUCAGAUAAUCAAAAACAUCGGUACAAUACCGCCAGGCAUUGGCAUUUCCAUACUUCCUCUGGCACUCAUCAUAGAAACCGUAUACCUGGCAGAAAAAGAAAGUUAUACCUUACAACAUAGAUUUAUAAUCCAAAGGGAAAUUUUCAAGAAAGCAGGAUAUCCAUCUUGAAAAAAUGAGAUCAUUUGGAUUGAAACCCUAGAAUUUACACAUUUAUUUUCAUUGUAGCAGUUCUAAAACUUAAGAUCGGGGCUGGAUCAGGGGAGAUCUGAUUUAUAUAUAUAUAUAUAUACACACACGCACACGACUGUAAAAUGAUUUUAUUAUUUUAAUGAUGUCAUCCAGAACUAGCUGAACUGGAGUUUUCCCAAACUUGUUAUCAGAUUUGACCAUACUUGAGGACAUGGCUUAAAAACCAAGCAAACUUGAAACCACGACUGGGGAAAUAACCUACAACAUUUCAGACUCAUGUUCUCACAGUUCCUGUAUCUGUUAAGUAUUAAAAACCUCACCAAGAAAUGAUCCAGCUAUUAGACCAGCACACAAGAAUGAAUAUAUACAUGAGAACCUUGAACCUAAGUUUGGAUGAAUUAGUUACCAAAACAUUAGCAUCUACGAGCAAAAUGUGAGCAACCAAAAUAUGCAUGAAUUACAGUUUUCCUCAUAAUUUAACCAAAAUAAACCAACCUAAGCGGAUUGCCUUGAAACUAAAGUCAUCUUAGCAGCCUAACAAACAUAUUUGGAACCUGAACAACAUCCUAAAUUUCCAGAUUAGCUCUUGCUUGAGAAAAGUACAUCUAAUUGCUUCAAUAUAUCACCAGCCCAAGAACAUUAUUUAACACAAUUUUUAUCACCAUCACUUAAUAUAGGAAAAAUCUAGAUUCAUCUUUAACUAACAACUUACAAAAACCAUAUCAUAGUUCUGCACCUGAAAAGUUUUAAAUGCUUCCAUUAACUAAAAGGAAUUCCAAAUCAACCAUGCUCUACAAUGUCCAACAGCAGCAUGGCGAUCCCUCUAUCCCAAAUUGACAGUCCACUUUCCCGUCUUGGGCAAUCCAUUAUCAUACUUGACUAGUUUAAAGGGUGCACUAACAGAAUUAAAUGAACCCUAAGGCCUAAAUUACCAUCUUGUUACCAUAGACUAGUUUGAAUGGAAGUGUAGUUCUGGAAGAAUGUACUUUCCUUCUCCCCCAAUAACAUUUGGUUAUUCCAGUAUUAAAUUACACUUAUAGGGACAAUUCUUAGCCAUUGAGCAUCCAUCAAGCCAAAAGAGCACAGCCAUUCAUAACUUAACUCUCCUAGGGGAAACCAGCAGCUUUGACAGAGAAUAGUGGAGAGAACAUAUCACUCUUGCACAUGUUAUAAAUCAUCAUGGUGAUUGUGUUAAGCUACGCAAUAAAUAAUGAUUAUGGUCCAGCUUAAACCAUACCUGAGUUAGUUGCCUGCUUUCAUGAUUUCCACGCAAAAGUGUAAUAUUAGCUGGGUAUCUACAAACACAACCAAAAGAUAUAGAAAACAGCAAAAUUAACUAGACUCGUCAAAAACAUAAGCAAGAAAUCUAAGAUGCAUGCAUUAUAAAACUUAGCAUGUGAAUGUUAUACCAGCUGGACAUAGCCUGACCAGCUUCUGAUCUUCAGAAUUUGAGCUGCUGAAGUGACCAGGUAACAACUUAUACAGGAUUUCAAGUUGCCAGGUUAACAAAAACCAAGAUGACAAAUUCCCAUAUAGCCUCUGAAGGUCUUGUGAGAAUUUGGUCCAAUCUAAUGGAAGCAAUACUUUUUCUUGCAAAGCUAGGUAAAGUAGUUGGCGGGGGAAGAUACAGGUAGAAUCACAUAAUGGUAUAUCAACAUAGCAAGAACAAUGAAUGAAGGCAUGAAAAGAACUGUACCUUGCUUUGAGAAGCAAAAGAAUAGUGAACACUUCAAGACUAUUAUAACCUCGAUCAACAAAAUCGCCCUACAAAAGCAUCAGGAAUGUUGAAGUGGACUCAGAUUAAACAUAACAAAAAAACAGGUAAAAGAAGCAAUGAUAUGGGGCAAGAGCUUUGGAAAAAAGGAAAAAGGGCAAGAUUUAUCGUGUAGUAAGUAUAUAAGUUGAUUACCAUAAAAAUGUAAUUAGUCUCAGGUACAUGACCCCCGGUCUGAAAAAGUUUCAUAAGAUCAUGAAACUGGCCAUGAAUAUCACCGCAGACAGUGACAGGGCUGUUAACAGGCUGCACAUUGGACUCCUCGAUGAGGAUCUCUUUUACCUGAGUAUAAAAAAAAGAAAUAGUAAUAUUAAAUUUCCAACUAUUGUUAUAUCCAGUAAAAGGAAACUGAAUUCGAUUAAAUAACCAUAAAAAAGCAAAGAGUAGUAUCAAUAGCAGGAAGGGGUUGGCAUUGAAAAUAAAUGAAAUAGAAAAUGGAGGUGCUGACAGCAUUAGAAGACAAAACAGGAGUAGUUGGGUUGGAACAAAGCGAAUCAAUCAAGAAGGGUAUAAACCCUAAUUCAAUUCCAUUAGAUACUAAAAGCAUCGAUGUAUAAGCAUGCUAGGAAGAAAGAAAGAACCAGGGAAAGAUAUAUUAUUAUAGAGAGUAACAGGCGGAGGAGUAUGAAGAAAUUACGUAUUCGCAGAGAAGCUGAAGAUCGUCUUCCAACAGGUGCUGUCCUUCUUUCACCUUCGCUAUCCAUUUAUCCAAAUCCAUCUCUUCUGGUGAUCACGAUGAUGCUGAUUUUACCCUUCUCCUCUCUCUCUCUCUCCUUCUAAUAAUUCAAUCAAUCCACCAAUAAUAAACCCUAAACCAGAAGAAGAAGAGAGCGAGCCCAGCAGCAGCAAAAGCAAAAAGAAAAAAUAAAACUAUCCUAAAAGGGGGUGGUCUUUGAAUACAAAUAGCAUAGAUCUGCUUCGUCUGCUACAAAUACAGUUUUGAUUUGAUUUGCGCGAUAUUUUUUAUAUUCUUUUCUUUUCUUUUUUAAUUUUAUUUAUUUAUUUUUGACAAAAUACAGGUAAUAGUGGUACGGUAUAAUAUACGUAUGCCGUAAAAAUACAUGGCGGACGCUUUUUCUUAAUUAAUUCAAUUUCUUUUCAUAGCCGGAAAUAUUUCUUUUUUUUCUUAAAAAAACAAAAAAUGAAUACAGCUCUUUCUACCAGCAAAAAUCUCAUCAUGAACUUGCAAAUAAGUUGAUCUUUCUCUAGACUUAAGGUAUUGUAUGAUUAUUAUUUAAGACAUAAGAGAUAAAUAUAAUAAGAAUAUAAAUAUAUUUGAUUGAAAAAAAUAUAAAUAUAAAUAUAAAAUAAAUUUAUUUUUAAGAUAUUUUCAACGCUGUAUAAAAUAUUUGUACUUGGUGAGAGUCUUUGUUCUUUCUCCCAGCCUGCACAAAACAAAACUAAUUUUAGAUUUUAAGAUUGGUCUCUUAAAAACUUUAUAUAUAUAUAUAUAUACACACACACACACACGCACACACACCUACUACACUUAAACAACUAUGUAACCUCAGCUUUUUUUUAAGAAAAAUUAUAUUCUACAAUUUUUUAGCUUUUUAUUAAUUUACCUUUUAAUAUUUUAAUAUUUUUUAAUUAAUUUCAUAAUUUUUUUUUUACUUUAUAUGAGACUAUUGUCAUCUAAAAUAAAUGUCUCAGCAUCUUGUUGAUAUUAAAUUUAAAAAUAUCUAAUUCAAUUAAAUUCUUUUUAAUUAUUAUUUUUUAAUUUUAUCAUUUGAUAUUUUGUUGAUUUUGAAUCUAUACUCAUAGUUAUUUUAGUUUGUUUUUUAUAAAGUUAUCACAAUUUCAAAUAAAAUAUUUCAAUAUUUGGUUAGUAUUCAUUUUGAGGGUGUCUAAUUUUGUUAUUAUAUUAUCAAGUAAAAAAAUUGUUAAAUUUAAUGAAGUCCAUGAUCUCAAUUACGAGUUUGACGGGUUAAACUUUAAAAGUCCAAGUUGACCAAAUAUAAUUUGGUUUGUAGGCUUAGCAUGUCAGGUUGCGAAACCCGAGUCGAUUCAAUAUGUCGUUGUCUCGAUAUUAAAAUAAAAAAGACAUUAACUUGUUUUUUUUUAAGUUAAACCAUGUUUAUUACUAAUCAUCUAGAUUUUUUAGGACUUACCAGGUUGUCUGGAUCAUGUCAGAAAAAUUUCCAUAUAAAUUAAUUUUAAACUUGAGUUUGACAAAAAUUUGGAUAAAGAGAUUUUGUUGGAUAAAAUUUAAUAAUAAUAUUAUCAUUAUAUUUUUUUGAUGUUUUUUUUUUCAUUCAAGAAUACACGUGUGAUAGCUUAGGACAUUCCCAACCUUUUUUUUUAGCUCAACAAAACAAAACUUUGCAUUAAUUAAAUAUCAAAAUCACUCCUUUAAAAUAAAUAAAUUAGGCCGGUUGGGCCAGGCUAUGAAGAAGACGAGCUGGGACAUAAAAUAAAAUAAAAUUCGACUAGCAGCUAGGCCCAAUCUAAAACGAGUACGAAGGGCCCAAUUAAUAUUAACAUGUCUGUCCAUCUGGCGGCUCUUUUUUCCUCGUCUCCAAUCCAAUUUUCCAUGAAGCUGCUGCUGCUGCUGGCGUCUUCUUCAUCAUUAUAAUUAUAAUAAUAUCGGUUAUUCAUUCAUAAUUUAUAGCAAGAAAAUAAAAGAAAAGGGCAAAGGAAAAUUAAAGAUGGGUCAAGCUCAAAGCGAGGUGGCACCAAGCGAUACAGCAGAUCAAAUGGAACCCCAUUUUUCUUCAUCUCCUUCGAUGGAAUCUCUUCUUGCUGGUAUGCUACCUGCCUACCUACCUAUUCCUUUCUCUCUCUUUCUCUAAACCUUACGCCAUAUAUAUUUGUUUUAUUAUGUGAAAUUGGUCUUUACCCAUACGGUGUUCGUGGAAAUGCUCACUACGUAUUAUUUGAUCGAAUUCAACCUUGCUUACAACUGGAAUCUUUGCUAUACUAUUCCCCUCUUCCAUUGUAGUAAACUGAUUUCUGACCAUGGAUUAUCAUUAUAAUAAUGGUUAGUGAUUGAAUACCAGUUUGAUGUUGAAAUAGAUAUCUAGCAGUGUAGAAAAUUCUCAAGUUCGCUAGUGCCCUGCUUCUGAAUCCCAAAUCUAUUAUCAGAAUCUUUUAUUCUCUUCUAAUAUAAACUAUCAAAGGAGGGUGCGGCCUAUUUUAUCUACAACAGCUACCGCAUUCAUCAGUCAUUAUGUAGGUGUCUGUCAGCUACUUUGAUUGCCCCAGAUUUCUUUGUAUCUAAGCAGGAGCAGUGGACCAAUGAUGCCAAAAAAGAAGUGAUCAGUAGAAAGCCUGCAAUAUUGGGGUUCCUUUUCUAUGAUUUUGUACCACCCUUUUACACCGCUUAGCUGCCCUUAAUUUCCCAAGUUAAGUUGAGAUCAUGUCUGUGUCUAGUUCCCAUAUAAACAUAAAGUAAUAUUCAGCUCCAAUUUCAUUUUAUCUAUGCACUGGACUAAAAUUUAAAGGUUAAGACGUGAGAGAUCCCAAUUAGUUAUAUUAGAACAUUGAACUCAUUUUUGUGUUCGUUCGUUCUUCUUCUUCUUAAUAAAGUUUCGUCUUUCAUCCGAGAAAAUAAAUAUUUGAAAUUGAUGCAACACAAUUUGCUGGUUCUUGCUUUUACAGAAGCUGUAGCAUAUGGAAAUGAUGAGAAUGAGGUUAGUCCGCGCCGGAUAUACAUGGAAUUCGAUUCGUCAUUUAAUUCUAGCUAAUUGAGUUCAACUUGGAUUUUUCAGUCUCUUGAAGCUAAGGCUCAGAAAGCAUUAGAAUGCCCAUGUAUAGCUGAUUUACGCAACGGCCCAUGUGGAGUUCAGUUUUCAGAAUCAUUCUUGUGUUUUCUCAAAAGUACUUCAGAGGAAAAGGUAAUUUUAAUGAACUGCCACUGAUUGCAACCUUUUAAGCAAGGUAUAUCUAUUGUAUGUGAACUUUUUUUUAUCUAUUCAGGUAUGGGAUUUUAUUUAUUUCCACUUUCUUUCCUUUUCCCUUUUGUUCAUCGUAUUCAAUUUCAUAUGCCAUUGCAAGUAAGUGCAUGUUAAUAUUCUAUCCCUGGGACAUUGCCAGUGACAUGGAAAUGAAUUUGUAGACGUUCUAUAAAGUGUCAGAAACUUUUUUUUCCUUUUGCACAGGGCUCGGAUUGUGUGCAUCCAUUUGUGGCUUUGCAGAAUUGCAUCAAAGCUAACCCCAACGCUUUUUCUAAGGACAUUUUAGAAGAAGCUGAAGAGAAGAAAGAGGAGGAGCCAGCACAGGAAUACAAAAUUAUUCCUCCCAUAUGGUCUAGAGAAUCUCAGAGUCCGAAGUCCAAGCUUUAGGAGACUGAAAACUCACUUUUUCCGACUCCUGAGUUCUUACUCGCAGGAGUUACUAUUUUAUCAAAUAAAAAAAUCGAUCAUUGAAAUUCCAUUUUUGAUGACUAUGAAUGUACUAAUGGAACUAUACAUUGUUGGCUGCUCAUCAUGAAAUCCAUCGAUGCUCAACCUCACACGACACGAGCAAGCUUCUCUUACUGUUCCUUGAAUGAAUGCCUUAAUUGUCAUGUCAUUUCGUUAACCUCUUUUCUCUAUGGUUUAGAAAAUGGCAUUUGCUGAAAUAUCACUUUAAUUUGUUGUGCAAAUUAACACAUACACACUCUUCAUCAAUAUACAUUACACAUGAACCUUCAUCCUGUAUUUAGGAUUGAGAGAAAAUUACUUUCCAUUUCUUACUCGUAUAUCUUGUAUAAGGUAAAUGGAAACAGAGGUUACAGAUCUAAAUUAAGAGAGAAGCAAGCCCAUAAAUCAGUAAUGUCAGUCCUUGGUAUUGGGGGUGGCCUUACAAAACCAUCAAACCCCACAUGUUAAGUUACCUGUUUACACAUUUAUGGUAUUUACAUAAUUAAUUAAUAUUGAAGAUUGAACGUGAACUUAUUCAUCAAAUUAAUAUUCGUUAUCUAAAUUAUAUCAUAGUAUGAGCAGCUUGGUGCAAAAUACACUAUAUGAACUUUACGUAGAAAUAUACAACAAACGCUUUCCGGAUUAAGAUUUUUUCAUGUUUAUAUAUAUAUAUAUAUAUAUAUAUCAUGUUCAUUAAAUCUAAAUCAUCAAAUUUAAAUUGGAAUAAAAUGAAUAACUAUAUGAUAAAAAUAAUAAUAUUUUCUCAUUAUUGUUUUAUUUUUUCCCCAUAUAAUUCAGAUUAUUAAACUCAAAAUCAAUGGUUAGAUUUGAAUCAUGUUCCUAAAAGAACAUGAAAAGAUCCAAAUCCAACGAUAUCCCAGGUCGGAAGCUCCUUUAAAGAAAGUUUGAUGUCUCAACAUGUGCUGGCUCCCAAGUUAACAAUUGCAUUCCGGCGAGGUUUGAGGUGGUACCGUUGUCAUCAGGGUGAUGCUUCGGGGUACUAGAUUUUUCACCCCUCUAGCAAUAUACUUGUUUAGCUUUAUUUCUGGCAAGCCAGCAUUCCAUCUUUUGAGUUCAAUUCCAUCGUCAAGUAUUCAUUCAUUAACUUUCAUCAGGUGUUUUGUAAUCUUCUUCUGUAAUUGAUAAUUCUGUUUGGGAGAUUGUGCCUCAUUAUACAUUCUUUGUCAAAAGUGGAAGCUGCUAUCAUCAGAAUCAGCAAAAAGAUAAGCAACCAUUUCUUCUCCAUCAGCGAAACGCACUUCACAGUUUGAGGAACCUGUGCGAGGGUGCAAUUGCCCGGGUUCGUUGGUUGUCGAGCUGGAUUACCUACUUGUAUAUUCCCAAAUUUAGAGCUCAGUCCAAGUUUUUUUAGAACAGUUGAACUAAGGGAACAAAAAAGGACCAGGCAGUAGAAACUCGAAAGCCUGUGACAUCGGUUCCUUAUCCUAUGUUUUCUGUACUCCACCCUUUUGCACUGCAGAAGUGCCCUGGAUUGGCAAUAUAUUUGAAUAUACGAAGACGAAAUUUCUUUAUUGCUUUCCUCAGCACUGGUAGCUGUGUGUGCAUAUAUACAUCUAAUGAAGAUACAGAUCAAGGUUUGCUGGAUUAACCUUGAUACAUGAUCCACGAGUUAUGCCAUCUCCAUCCAACUCCAUUGAGUAGAAAAACUCUUCUGAAAUCUGCCUACCUACUAGAAAAACUCUUCUGAAAUCUGCUUACCUACUCCACAAAAUCGAAGAAGAAGCACACAAAGUAAAGAUAGCAUAUGGAAUAACCAAAUACAAGACAGUAAAAAAGACAACCUACAUAUGCAAAGUUAAAACUUAAUCUUUGAGCACUGUCUAGCCAAAAAGACAGAAAUUAAAGCAGCUUUUUACCCUCCAGAGUUCAGCCUGUCUCCAGUUGUACUAAAGUUAUAAUAUACCUUAUGUAGAGAUAAUUUCUUGCUCAAUUCUUGUACUUCAUGGUUUCCUUUUCAAAUCCAAUUGUUGGGAAUUGCUUAGCGUACUCUUCCACGUCACGACGGAGUUUUGAAAUCUCAGAUUGAAAGUGAGGAGCAGACUGCGUAGCCAAGAAAUCCUUCAACUUCGUCCCUGGUUCACGAAAAUUAGUGGCAAGUGAUGCCAGUGUCUGUUAGUUUAUACCAAUUGGAUUUGCCGUGAUAUAUUCAUGUAAAUAUUAUAUUAUAUUAUUAUAUUUAUAUAGAUAUAUAUUUAUUAUUAAUAUUUAUUUAAUUUAUUUUUAAUAUUUAUAUAAUCUAUAUAACAAAAAUACUUUACACAACAAAAUUAUAAAAUUAUUAUAAUUAUGAGAUUUCUAUAGUAUCAAAACAUUGUUACUAAAAUAUUCUUAGUCGAUAGAGUUGUAGAUAUUGACAUAUAUUAUAUUCUUUUUUUUAUAAAAAGAACCAACUGUUCUCGUAAGAUAAUAUAUAAAAGAUACCUAAAAUUAAUAUGUAGGUGCUUGUUAUAAGAUAUGCACACUGAACUGACCAGUAUAAGAAUUUCAUAUGAAGAGAUUAUAUAUGUCUAUGAAAAGGCUCAUGUGACAGUUGUAUAAGUGAUCCUUAGACUUGAAAUCACUAAGUUAUCUUAUAUCAGAGAAUGUUAUACUUUGAUCUUAUUACAUGUUAUCUAAAUCGAGGUAAUAAAAUGAUAAACAAUGGGUAUAGAAUGAAUUAUAUGAAGGUACUUGAGCGAUAAAAAGAAGAUUGAUGACUUUAGGUGAAUUAGAAAAAAUGUUAUAUCUAUUCUCAAAUAGUAUUAACCAAGAAAUUCUUGAGUAAGAUGAAGUGAGAUUUGAAAAAAAUUUCAAAUCUUAUUCAAACGAUCAAUGACUUUUAUGUAAGAACGUAUAUGAUUUAACAUGAUAGGCAUAUUUCAUACUUUAAUGUUAAAUCAGAAUAUUAUUGAUGAAAGGAUAUUAAUUAUAUUAAAAAAAUAGUCACUAAAAGUUAAGUCAAACCACUCAUGACUUUUCUAAUAUUUAGAUGAUCAUGAUAAUUGUUAGAUAAUGCACCUGAUCUUCAAAUAUAAAUUAAUCAAUUGAUGAAUUGAAAAUAAAUUAAAUUAUUUAAUUUAUUUAAUUUUAUUUAAUUAGAAUUAGAAUUUAUAUUUGGACCCAUAUAUUAGGAACCUAAUAGGUCACACACAUUAAGAACCAUUAGUCAGAAAUUAAACUAUAAUGAUUUAAUUAAGUAUGACUUGAUUAAAAUAUAUUUUAGAAAUUAAGAACUAAAAUAUAAUUAAUAUAAAGAUUAUAUUUCUAGAUCUAGAAAAAUUAAAUAAAGACUUGAUUGAGUUAAUUUCUAAAAUUACCAUGAAAUAAUAUAUAGAAAUUAUUCUUAAUAUUUUUUUAAAUUUAUAGAGUUUUUUUAAAAAAAUUAUAAAUAAUAAGUUAAUUUUUAUGGAGUUAUCUGUUAGAUAAAAAGAUUAUGUAAGUUACAACUAUCUCUAUUCAAGAUCCAAUAAUAAUUUUAUUUUAUUAUUUUGUGUUCGCUAUUCAGAACCGAUCAAUUAGAUGGCCAAGAAUUACCAGGAGCAGUAACGAGAUGUGAAGAAGCUUUGGGAGAAUGCAACAAAGAUACUGGAGAGGUACAAACCUUUGGUUUCAGCCUUGAUCUUCACUGCCAACUUCACAGCGGCAUCAAAGAAAUCUGCCACCUUAGCAAAAUCCUCUUCAACGAAUCCCCUAGAAGUAAGAGCCGGCGUUCCUGAAGUGCAAUUGUGUUUAUCAAGAAAAGUCGCUGUAAAUAAAAUCAAAGCACAUUGUCAUGUCAAGUAAAGGCCCUUACCCAUCCUGAUGCCACCGGGAACCAUGGCAGACACAUCUCCAGGAACAGUGUUUUUGUUUGCAGCAAUGUGAACAGAUUCAAGCACCUUUUCAACUCUGGAGCCAUCUAUACCCUGCACAAAACAAAAUUUCGGAAGAAAAGAGAUGAAAAGAAAAGGAAGCACCGUUUUUCAUGUUUAAAACUCAAAUAAAUCCACGACUAAUGGCCUGUUGGCGCAGGUAGUUUCGUCUUAAUACACUUUUUACCACUUGGGCUAAUUCACCAGGAACUUCUUUCAAGUGGUCAAACAAGAUAGAUUAAACAUCCUCAUACCUUGUUCUUCAAAUUCACCAAAACUAAAUGGUUCUCAGUUCCUCCAGAAACAAGUUCGUAGCCUUUCUCAACUAAACUCUGCAAAAUCAGUAACGUCCCAAGCAAUUAAAAUACUGAAGUUAACCUGUUAGACCUACAGUCUGAUGAGAAAAAGGCUAAAUAAUUCAAAAUUUCCAUUUGUUUGAGUGAGAGAAAGUUGUUAUAUGCUGUCUUUUUGCCAUGUCUCAUAAUCUGAUACCUGGGCAAAUUUUGCACAAUUACUUAGAACUUGCUCUUGAUACGCUUUGUACUCUACAGUUGUAGCCUGCAUGUAUAGAGUAAGGAUGUAUUAGAAUAGCUUUUAAAUAGAAAUGAAAAGGUACUAAUAAAUUACCUGAAUGACAAUUGCUUCAAGGGAGUAGAAAAGAGCCGCAGUAAGCAUAGACCUUGGCUUUCUUUAUCCCUCCCUCCCUCUCUAUUUCUUCUUCGUUAUUUUUGGUAAAACAAGGGGCCAGAAACCCAGAAAACAAACUUAACACGACACAAAUGUGGGGUAACAGAGACCUACAAUCUUUAUCAAGCAAAACACCUAGCUCAUCUAGAGGAGAAUCUAGGAGACUUGGUCUCACGCCACCGCCAAUACUGGCUAAUUAAAGCAUUUGCACAACGGUUCCCUUCGCAGAAAAUAUGCUCUUGGUGGCAUAGACCUUAGUUUUAACAUUAUAAAAACUAGGAAGGGCCAUAGUGAAAAAUCAUUUUCCUCCAGACUACCUCUUACAUCUGCCUAGUUGUAUUGUACCAACCAGUAUCAAAAACUUUGAAAACCUGCCUAGUGCUUACUGUGCACCUCAGAGGCCAACAGCUACAAGCAUAAUUCAUCACCUCAUCAAGGUGCAUCCUCCCUUAUACUUGUCAAUAUUAAAGAAUGCUUGAUAUCCUAUAAGCUUCAAGAAAAUUAAUGGCCUACAUAGGGAUAUAUAAGAGUGCUGAAUUCAGUCGAUUGGGCACUGCAACUGUUUCUAACAUGUAAAGCAUUCCAGGAGGAUUUUGGGGUGAGUGAGGGAUUUAAUUUAACUCAACGUGCAGGUCACCAAAACGGAACCUAAGAGAAAUGGGUGACUAUUAUUUCACCAGGAAGGAAUUUAGAACUGAUGGGAACUAUCUUAGAAGCACACUGACCUGUUUCAAAGCAACUGCUAAACCAGCAAUUGUGUGGUUGUGUGGACCACCUUGAAGCCCAGGAAAGACAGCUUGAUUGAUUUUGUCCUCGUAGUCAUAAAACACCUUUAGGAAGAGGGCAAAAGACAUCUUAGUUCCACUUCAAAGACACGAAUAUGUAAUCAUGAAGUGUGAUUUUUCAGUUAGUGUCUCACUUCUUUCCCUUGUUUGUUAACCUCUUUUAACCCCUUCCUGAAGAAAAUCAUUGCCCCACGUGGCCCGCGAAGUGACUUGUGAGUUGUGGUAGUCACUAUAUCUGCAUACUCAAAAGGUGACGGGAUGACAUCAGCUGCAACCAAUCCACUAAUGUGUGCCAUAUCUGCCAACAGUGUAGCUUUUUGUUUGUCGCAAACCUGUUAGAGAUCAACAUAGUCUUAAAUCCUAUAAACCACCAAAUGAGCUUACAACUGAAGAAACUCUGAUCCAUAAAUUUGUUUACUGUAUCGGUAUUAAUCUAAAGGAUGUUACCUUGCGAAUGCGUGCAUAAUCAUAUAGUCGUGCGUAAGCACUAGCACCAGCUACUAUUAAUUUUGGUCUGAAAAGAGUGGCACUUUUCUCCAGCUGAAAUAUCAUAAUUUUCACAUCAGACAUUCAUUCCGUGUCACCUAGAUAGAUAUACGCAUGGAUAAAAUACAUGCAAUCAAAUAUGUAGGGGGGAAAGGGUCUUAGUGAUGCAUAAAAUAGUUCUGCAUUGCUUGCUUUAUAUACACAUGAAAUCUUCAUAUUUAUUUGAUAUUUAUCACAGCUGUUUGCAAAGACUGGUUCCAAGAUUUUCUAUGCAUGUGGGGUUCAGAAACGGAGAAAAGUUUUAAUCCGACGACACCAUCUAGACUCAGGAAACAGAGAUCAAUAAAGUCUACCCUGAUUAUUUCAAUUUCAGGAUAGAUUUUUGUGAAGCUGAAAGACAAUCUUCACAGCUAAAGUAUAUUUAACUAUUAAAAAAGAACAUGAUCAUGGAUUCAUCAUGUCUAGUGGUAGAUGGUACCUAUCAUUCUGACUUCUAACUUAUAUCAACAAGCAUACGUCAUGACAUUAUUGAGUUGAGUAGAGUAGAGAAAACAACGAUGCUUCGAAGCCCCCUAAAAAUAACCAUUACUGGGAAAUUAUAAUAAGAUAUAUAUCCAGUUUAGAAUUAGGUUGGACAACAAUGUGCUGUUUACUUUCAACAACAACUUCUAGUCUUCCAUGAUUUUCUACAAAAAAUCAGUAUAUAACAAAGAGAGAAUAAAGUACCUGAUCAUAGUCAAUAUAGCCAGUGCUCUCAUUCAAUCUGUAUGGCAUUGUCUCAAAAAAUAUUGACACUGCAGAUAUUUUUUUGGUGUCUGUCUGCAAAAUAGGAAAAGAAACAAUGAUAUUGUUGUCCUUUUAAUUAACCAGAAACAUGGCCCUGAUAAAUUCAGUUCAGUGGAAUCAAUCGCCAUGUAUUUGUUAGCUAUCAUGCCGAGUAUGCAUUGAUACAUAUAGACUAUAUGAUCUGUUAAAGAAGAGCUCAAAAUCUAAACCCAGCAAAGCAAGCAACAAGAAUGACCACUUGAACUCCCAUUUAAUAUUAUUCUUAGAAAUGAAAGAGAAAAUUACAAAAUUCUUUCUUUCUCUUUCCUUUUCUUCAUAGUUAAAUCAAACCAUCUGGAAGAAAGAUGGGAAUAAAAUGUGAUUAAAUUUCCCGUUUAAUUGCAUAGCACUGGCAGAAUGCAUUUCUGCUGCUAAGUUGGGGCUGGCUUCCAUCUAUGGAAAGCGCAGUCAAGAUGCUAGAGGAUCUAAAUUAUAAAAGGUUCAAUCAUCUGAAAAUACAAGCUUAAAUAGGAAAUUUACAAUAUAAUAACAGGGGAACAUGCUUUUGGAUAAGAAAAGUGAAAAGGGAAGAAAAGAAAGAACAUCGAAGCACCUGAUAGCCAUGAGAAAGAUGGCCUCCAUGAGGAAGAUCAAGUGCCAUGAUUCUUUCAUGAGGCUUUAACAAUGCAGUGUAGACUUGAAAAUUAGCUGGAGAUCCAGAUAGAGAUUGCACGUUCACUGCAGCCAGCAUAAAAGGGAAUGCAUUCACAAAAGCUCGAUCAUAAGAGAGAAAAAAGGGGGAAAGGGAGGUGAAAUUAAGUAGAUAAAAUUUCAUACAAGACGAAGUAUUGAUUCGGCAAAAAUCAACUCAGCUCAACCAGAACGUACGGACUAGUAAAAAUAAAUAUUUGAAAAGAAAACAGAAACCAUUAGCUAGUUUUAAGUUUCUCGCAAUGAUCGUACAUAAAGCAGUUGUAUGUACCUCCCCAUUUAGCAGGAUCCAGGCGAAAUGCUUCCAGAGCACGCUUCUGACAUAAGGAUUCUGCCAUGUCAAUAUACCUGGAAAGAUAAGAAAGUAAAGAGCAAAUUAAAAAGAAAAUAUCGAGAUGAUCAUGAGCAGAUCAGAGAUAGGAUAAUCAGGAAUUGACGUACUCGUUUCCACCAUAGUAUCUUGCACCAGGGUAUCCUUCACUGUACUUGUUGGUCAUGACAGAACCCACAGCUUGCAUCACUGAUACCGAAGUGAAGUUCUCUGAGGGUAUAAGCUCAAGCCCCUUUUCACACAAUUAUUUUACAAGAUAUAUAAUCACGACUAAAAUAAACAUUGAUUCAUAAAAAUAAAAUUAACAUGUUAAUUAUUGAGUUUAGUUUUAUGUAGCAAGUGAGGUACCUUCCAUUGCCUAGCUUUCUCGAGCUCAAUAAUAUCAGCAACCUGAGGAUCAACAGCCUCUAAGGGUGCAUUCAGCUGCUUUGGCCACUGUUGCAAUUAAAUAUGAACAGCUUAAUUAACUCAUAAUAAUUAAAAGAUAUAUAUAAUCAUACGUAAGAGGUAAUCUUACGCUGACACCAGGUUUCUCCUUCUCAUAUACAGCUUCGUUUGGCAAAGAAGACUGCAAAAAACAGAACCAAACAUUUCAAUUUUCUUUUGAUCAGCUACACUAAACUAAAUUAAGUGGACCGUUUCGUUGCCUGUUCGGUUCUUAAUUAAUUUUAGAAAAGAUUCAUAAAUUAGAAGAAGAGGAGGAUGAGGCAGAAAGAGAACCAUAUAAUAGAGGGAGGUGGCUUUGAAGAGAGCAUGGCGAAGGGGCUUGUCAAAGGAAGAGGAGAGACGGCGAAGGGCCAUGGUCAUUGCCACUGCCAUUUCUGGUCUUUAAUUAAUGAAUUUGAAGCUAGCAAGUGAUUUCUUUUUCUUUGGAGUUUUGAUGUUCCUCUGUGUCCUCUCCUCUCCCCUCCCCUUGGUGACGUGGUUCGUUAAUAUUAAUAAUAGAGACAUGCUUCUGUUAUCACUUAUCACUUCAUCGUCACUUGUUCACCUAGUGUGUGUCUCAAAUCUCAACUCCUAUCCAUGCCAUUCGCUCCCUUCUAAUGGACCCCACUUACCCCUCUCUCAUUUAUUUAUUUAUGUAAUAUUAACAAUAGUAAUAAAUAAAAUAAAUAAAUCCUCAUGAAACUAAUAACUCAUCAAAUACUUGAAAUUAAAUUAUUAAAUUAUAAAAGAAAACAAAUGAAGUGCAAGUACCUAGUCGUGUACCAACCCAACACCAUGGAUUUCUAUUUUUAUUUUAGAGUUGUUUAAAAGAUUUGUACAAUCUUCUUCUUCUUUUUUUCUGUUUUUUUUUUUAAUGUACGGGGCUUUAUUAUUAUAACGGUAAUAGUUGUUUUUUUAAGUGUUUUUUAUUUAAAAAUAUAUUAAAAUAAUAUAUUUUUUAUUAUAUAUUUUUACUUUUUAAAUUUUAUUUUUAACAUCAACCUAUUAAAAUGAUAUAAAAAUUAACAUUCUCAACAAAUUAAUUUACAUCAAAACAUUAUUUCUUCUUACAAAUAUUCUUACAUUGGAAAAAACAAAUAACACCUUAAUUAUUAAUAAAGGAAACUUAGAGUAAGAUGUAUGGUAUUCAUGUUAAUGUUAUUAUGCUUCGAGGUGCAAAUUUUUAGGGCUACCUAGAAAAAAACCAAGUCACAAAGCUUUAAUUUGAGAAUAUCAAUUAUACCAAGCUGAAAUAAUUAAGAUCACUUAAUUCUGCGGUGCAUGCAGAUUAUCUAACCGCUAUAUAUAUAUAUAUAUAUAUAUAUAUACACGCGCGCGCUUAAACUGUAUAUCAUGGUGUAUUGUUUAUUUAACCAUGCAUCAUAAUAAACCCGGCCACCCUAGCUCGUCAUAGGCUGACUCAUAUUUAUCUGAUGUGUUUAAUUUAUAGUAAUUCAUAAGUUGAAAAGAAUCGAUAUUGUUCUCUUUUAAAAUGUAAGAAGAAGAAACUCUCUCCUACGUAUCUAAAAACAAUUUUCAUGUGUUGAUAUAUAGAUUAAGUUUGUGCAAUGUACGUAUACAUGAUCAGUAGGAUGCAAGAAAAAAGAAAAAGAAAAAUUCAGCUCAUAAAGUAAAUGCAAACGUGUAAGAGAAUUACUGCAUCCCAACACCAAAAAUUUGUAAUUUCUGAAUUUUAUCUUAAAAUAUUUGUUAAUCAAUUUUGUAGGAUCAAAUAUAUCUUUUAAACUGCUGAUAUUUUACAGAAAAAUCACUACCAGAAAAUUGAUAAAUGUAGGAUCAAAUAUAUCUUUUAAACUGCUGAUAUUUUACAGAAAAAUCACUACCAGAAAAUUGAUAAAUACAAACGGAAAUACCGAGGGAAUUACCGUGGGAAAACAAAUUAAAACAAAGCAAAAAAAAAUGAUGACGUGUCAUUUUUACCAACGGAAUUACCGACGGAAUUUGUUCCGUCGGUGAUUCCGUCGGUAAAUUAGUUGGUAAAUUGUGAACACUGUUCAUCAUGUUAAUUACAAAGGGAAUCACCGACGGAAAAUUCCGUCGGUAUUUUCCAGAGAGUAAAUCACCGACGGAUUCAAAAGUCGUCGGUGUUAUUUGGCGGUUUUCUGAAAAAAUUCAAUUAAUUUAAAAUUUUCAUUUAAAUAUUACAGACGGAAUCACCGACGGAUUGAAAAAUCGUCGGUAAUUUUUUGGCGGUUUUUGAAAAAAUUUUACGAAAUUGAAAAUUUAAAUUAAAUAUUACCGAUGGAAUUACUGACGGAAUAAUUAAAAAAUAUUAAUAUUUAAUUAUCCGUCGGUAAAGCGUCCCAAUAAAAAGCCUGAAUGCCCUUAUUUCACAAGAGACAGACCCGUUUCUUAUUCUUCUUCUUCUUCUUCUUGUUCUUCUACUUCUUCUUCUUCUUCUUCACUAUAUGUAAAAAACAUCAUUAAGGUAUGUCUUCUUCUUCUUCUUCACUUUAUGUAAAAAACAUCAUUUCUUAUCUAUUUCUUUCUCUUCUUUUCUCUCCUCAUCUCCUUCUCUUUUCCUCCAUGCUUGGGUAUGUCUUCUUCUUCUUUCUUCUUUUAUCCUCUUAGUUUUUUUUUUUAAUUAAUAUGCUUAAUGAAAUUUUUUUUCUCUCCUUAGCUUCACUUGCAACUACAUUAAGGUAAGAUUUUUCUUUUUUCUUCUUUUUUCAUGAUUUUUUUCACUAUAUUUGUUUUUUAUUUUAUUUUUAAUUGUUUUUGUUCUUAAUAAUUGUAUAAAUGUUGUUGUAUUUAUUUUUAUUUUAUUUUUAAUUGUUUUUGUUCUCUAAAUUCUUCAUAGAAUUAAUUUUUUAGUUGAAUUUAUUUUUUUAUUUUAUUUAUUUGUUGCAAAUUUGUUUGAAUUGAUUUUCUUAUUCUUUUUUCCAAGCAUUUUGAGUAUAUAUUAUAUACAGUGUUAAUUUAUGUUAAUUUAAUUAUUUUAUAAUUUUAUAAAAUGAAUUUUUUUUAAAUGUUUUUCAAUAAUUACCGACGGAAUUUCCCUCGGUAAAUCCCUCGGUAAUUCCGUUGGUAAUAAAAAAAUUAUUACCGACGUGUCUGUUCCGUCAGUAAAUCCAUCGGUAAUUCUAUUACCAACGGAUUUACCGACGGACAAAACAUUACCGACGGAUCAUUUCCGUCUUUGAUUCCGUCGGUAAUAUAAUUACCGAUGGAAUAUGUGUCUUACACCGACGGAAAAAUUCCGUCGGUAAAACUGUUAAAUCUUGUAGUGAAUACUAGAUACAUGAAACUAGAUCUUCGUAAAUUUUCAUGUUAAAUGGAGUUUGAGAAUAUAUUGUUUCAUAGGGUUAAAGUUACUAAAAAAAUCUUGUCAACUCUACCAGACUAAACAUUUGUAUACUAUUUGGGACAUAUCUAAAGUUACAUGUGAAAUUUUGUUGUGAUUCAAGUUGGGCUGAAAACUAGACUUUUCAAGAUUCCUAACUAUAUAUGGUAGGCUCAAUAAUUCAUCCAGACGAUAGAAAACAAUGUAUUUGAAGUCAUGACUGAAAAUCUACUAAGAAUAUACGAAAAAUGAGCUACAUUGAGGAAUUUGGCACAAAUACUUUGUUUUUAUUAUCUUAUUUUUUUAUUUAAUGUUGAAUAAUUUUUUUUAAUUUGGGUUUGUUGUCAUUAAACAUUGUUUAAGGGUUUAUUUUAUUAUUAAAUUUAUGAUGGUUGGUUACUAAUUUAGACCCAUUAGCUUGCAAUCCAAAAUUAAUGAGUCUAUUACAGCUAGUUAUAAGAGAUUAAAUUAUGUUUUUUAGCUAAAAAUUUCAGCAGCAAGUUGGAAAAUAAAUAUGAGUUUUUUUUUUAUUUGUUUAUUGUAAAACAAUAUUUCUUUACAAGGAUAAAAAUCACAAACCAACUUAUCAAAAAUUAACUAGUUUUGUGCCAUCAUUCACAUAUUUAGAGUUCUUAAAUAGUCAUUUUUUGAUCAAGUUUUUUUUUAAUACAUUUGAUUUUUGAAUACAGGUUGCCUUUGAAUUAAGGUUUUAUCAAACCUGAUUUUUAAUUUUUCAAGUUAUUAUCUAUUUUGCUAGAGGUUGCUCAGCAAGAGGUUUGCAUCACUAGUUUUCAAAGGAAAAUUUCUCUUUUCUGCUGGACAGACAUCAAAUAUAUUAUAUAAACAAAGGAGUAUAUAAAUUAUGAACUCCAUCUAGAUAAACAUUCACUAAUUCAGUGUUGAUAAUGGAAUGAAAAGACCUUGUUAAAUUAAAUUCAAGCAAAUUACAUAAGUGAUCUUGUAUCUCUAUCAAUUUUCAUUUUAUUUCUUACUGAAAUAUAAAUUUUAUCUGAACAGAGAAAGGAUGUGAAAAAUAUAUAUAACGAGAUAAAAAAGCCCAAAGGAAGUGAGUAAUAGAGCGAGCAGUGCAGCCCAUUGCGACAGAAGCGCGUGAGAGCCAUUGGGCCCAUGGCCUACGCCUUCCUUUGCUGUCUGCUCUGAUUAUUAAAACCCACAAACCAAACGGAAACCCACACUGCCCAGAAUCACUACAUCCCCCAACUCAGUCUUGCAUCUUUCCUUCGCUUAUGUUAUGGCUUUCCUUGCCACUGCCACUGCUUCCUCUUCCUGUUCUCAACGCGUAGGAAGUCCCAAACUACCCCAUCCCUUGCCUUCUAUCUCUAGGCGCACGCCUUCUUUUCCUCUCGUUUCGUUUCCAAACUCUAUAACUCUGCACGCACAAAGGGCCGGAGCAAGAGUAGUUGGUGUUGUGGCGGCCGCUGCUGCUGAUGGGAAGAGCAGUUCCAAUGCAAUCCAAAAGGACAAGAAUGGUAAAAAGGAAGAGGAGGAAGAAGAGACGAUAGAGGUGGAGGAGGAAUUGCCUUGGAUUCAAGAGAAAGCUUUGGACCUGGUAGAAUUCACAGGGUCUGUCACCCAAGCAAUUCCAGGUCCCAGAGUGGGCCAGAGCUCCUUGCCUUGGAUUCUCGCUCUUCCUCUCGCUUAUGCUGGCAUUACUUUCGUUAUUGCCUUUGUUAAGACUGUCAAGAAGUUUGGGUCUCCCAGAUACAAGCGCAAGAAACUGGUUGCUUCCUUUUUUUUCUUUUUUUGCAUUUUCCUAGCAAUAAUUCCUUAUUUUACUACUUAUGAUUAUUCCAAUUUUGACCAUACUUAUUUCAUUUCAGGUCAACAAAAAUGCUAUGCUGUGCAAAUCCAUUGAUGAAUUGUUUCAGAAAGGAGGAGGAGGAGAAGUAGGAGCAGAUGCAUCCCAACAACAUGCAGCUCUCGAAGGAAUGGAAAAAAGGGUGUGACUCACAUAACCCACAACUUAAAAGUUUUUUUCAUGGAUCAUACUUUAACUGCAAAAGGUUUUACAUUUGUAAUGAGCUCAGGUUUUCAUUGCAUUUGCAUUUGAAAGUGAUAUAGUUUCGUUGUUUAAAGCCAUGGAAAUGUCUCAUCUUGAAUUAACUUGGUCCAAUUUAAAGGCUUUUUUUUCUCCAAUAGAAUUUUUGUUCUAGCUAGAGGUCUUUCUGGUGAUGGUUCAUUCUUUAUCCUCUACCAUAAUAAUUUGGUGCAUCUUCUCCACUAUCAUUUUGGUUUUGAUGGCAAUUGCUAAUUCAUAUCCAGACAGGUUUUACCAUGGUGGAUAUUGUGCGCAAGUACAUUCGUUAUGCUUUGAAUGAGAAACCAUUUAAUCCGGAACUAGUUGCCAACUUAAUCCAGCUCAGGAAAGCUUCGAUGUUGGAUGACUCCCAGGUUGCUGAAAUUUUGAAUGAUAUCUCAAGACGAAUUGUUCGGGAGAAAGGUAGUUCUUUAUGGCAUCACUUAUUCAUCCUGGAAAUUCUUUAGGUCGAACAUCGAAUUAUGACCCCUGUUCUGCUCUUGAUUUCAUUUGUAAGGAUCUUCGAGUUCAUUCAGUAGUUGCUCGCUUGAGGCUUGAUUGAGUAUAAGGAUGUAAAAACAUGUUAAGCAUGCUGAAAUGUUAAUAAGAGCUGUUCAUGUUUCGACUUCUUUACUCUCCACAAUUGGUUCUGGGUUCUUUCAAUUUUUAUUUGAGUGUGAGGGGGUUGUUGGAGUAGGGGAUGGGGGUGGGAUUGUAAUGUGCAUGUUGUGUCCAAAGAUAUAGGUAGUUUUUACCAAUUAUCCUAAAAAGGAACGAAGAAAAUGAUAGUAAGGUUAAAAAGACCUAAUUUUCAGUGCUCUGAUUUUGUUUUCUGUGCUUUCAGGCCCAGUUGUCAUGAAUAUGUCAGGGUAUUCUGAAAAGGGAUUUAAGAGAAAACUUGCAGUGCAGGCCCUUUUUGGCAAGGUCUUCUAUUUGUCUGAGGUGAGCGGUUGAACAGUUAGCUGUUAAUAGCUUUCGCUAGCUUAUAUUUUUAUUUCAGAUUUCAUCGUGUUGUUUUUCUUACUUAUAGAAGGACACAGCUGUUCCUUUUUUCUUCUCCAUCUUUACUGCUUUUUUGAAUUAUUGCAUCUAAUCUGCCGAACUUUUAGAAGUGAUUCAUGAGAUCAUGGAAAUAACAUAAUUCAUAUUACCUUAGUUGCCUCAAGACAUUCAUUUGCUUGUGGCUCUUGGAUUGUCAGCACUGAUUAGUUCAUUCCAGCCCCCAAUAAGAGAGAUGGAUCUGUUGAAAUGAACUCUAUCGGUUGCCUCAAGAGCUUUAUUGUACUUGAAACUAAGAGAUGGACCUGUUUUUAUUUGGCUGCUAACUAAAUUUAUUGAACUGGUUGUGUUUUUGUUUUGCUUUUGGACCAGCUGCCAGAGUUCUGUUCAAGGGACAGCUCCUUAGUCGUGAAGGAAAUAUUUGGGGUUGCAGAGUAUGCUUUUCAUUCACGAACUUUUACUAUCCAUUUGAUUAUUUUGUAGAAAAUUGAAAAUGAUGUGAAGAGUUGUAUUUGAGCAUUUCCAUUAUCCAUGGUCUGUUCAUUGUGAAAACAAAUGAACACUAACAGCUUUUUUUCGUUCUUAACAGUGAAGAUGCUGACAAACUUCGUUUGCACACUCUUUCUGAAGCUGGUGAUAUGGAUUCACUUGAGAAGAUGGUUGAUGGUUCAGAUUCAGAAGAUUCCAACGAGAGAACAUCGAAUGCUCCUUGAUUUGCAUUAGCAGACAUAGAGAGUUAGUUGCAGAGAGAAGUAAGAUUCCGGGAAGUAUAAGAGGGGAUUUGCAUUAGUUAAGUAGUUGUAACCAAGAUUGUCUAUGUAUUAGUGGUUUUACUUGAUUAUCAUGUAAACCAAAUUUUGAUGGCACAAAAAAUCCUUGUUUUAGUUGAAAAGUGCAUUUGAUAUUGUGCAGGAGGUUGUUGCAGACAAAAUUUUAUGCGGUUGAAAUAUGGAUGGAGUAUUGAUUGAUGAAAUCUGAAUCAUUAUGAUUCUGAACCUUAGUCAUGGUUUGUUUUUGCGGGAGAACUCGAGCAAUUCCGCCAUCAAUGAGAAGCUAUCUCUUUCUCUGACUGUGGUAUAAGACAAUGGGCUGAUUAUCGUUGGUUUUCUUUGUUUAUUUUUUUCCCCAUGAAAAAGCCAUUUGCAGUUACUAGAAGCUAUAAGAUGGGAUCAUUAUGCUUAUAAUUCUGAGGAAAACGAGUGCAAGUUCGUAGAGCAGGUAAUCCUUCGCAGUUGAGAAUGCACGAUGUGUCAGAAAUUAUCGAUCAAGGGAGAACAUUCUGCCAACUGGUUAUGCUGUGCAUCCUUAGACCGCGCUUAUCUUUUAUUAGCUGUGUCUCUGAGGACAAGUGAUAGAACGCCAUUCUUCUUCUCUUCUUUUGGUUCAUUAGAGGCUCUCGAUGCCUGGAAAUACUCAACAUGGUAAUUCAUUUUCUUUUUUCCAUUUUUAUCCUUUUUAUUCUGGCAAGAGCUAGUCGUCACAAGUGUAUGAAGGGGCACGGCGCUGCUUGUUAUUUUAUAUGCUAAGCCACUAUCAGCAAAUAAAACCCCGAUCAAGAAAGGCUCGCCUGGUAGACGGUGAUCAAGAAUUAGGAUGCCCCCCUCGUCCAGGCAUGAACCUAACUCGAGGAAUGCAGACCUGCCAUUCUCCUAUUAGAAGAACAAACACUACUUUAUUUCCUAAUCAGUUUCUAAGGCCUCGGGCAUCAACUUAAUUGUUGGAGGAUCAUCCACCCAACCAGAAGAACUUGUUUUGCAGCUACUUAAACUACCUUCUACAUCUUCAAUCAACUCCAAUUUAACUCUGCUAAGGGCCACAUCGUCCUUUUUUAGUUUUACGUCUUCAACAAAAUUCAAUAGUCAAAGGAGGAUUCUGCUUUGAUCCAAAAUUGGCUGGAAGAGCCAGCGUGGAGAACAAUACCAAAUGCCAGGCACGAGCUUAAGUGGUAUUCUUUUGCCUUUCCUUCUUGCACAUUACAUGAUAGUUGCUGUGUAAACGAAUUAAAAAGCCUUACCUCGGUGGUGUAACUGUCUUUAUUAGUGGUGAAGUCAUUUAGUGUGGCGCGGUAACCAAAGGACUUGGGAUGUCAUUUCGGAAUUCUGCUGGAAGAUGUGUUAUCGCUUCCUCCAAAUCAUAAUCUUGAGCAUGUACUGCUCAACAAUAUGCAACGAGGUAGUCUUUAUAAGAAAGUUGAAGGGCUCUGCUUCUUAUUUUAUAUAUGCUACCAACCUAAUCUAAACGGAGAUAAGAGUACCACCUAACAUGACUCAGGCAAGAUAAAAGGAAAUAAUCCAAUUCUCCAAUAACCGUUCACACGAAGCAUGAGCAUAAGAGAUACUAUGUCUGGCCAUGUCUAAGGCACUUUGCCCUCUCUGGCCAUGUCUAAGGCACUGUGUUGCACAUACCUGCUCAUUUCACUAUGCAUAUUUUAAUAACAGAGGCAGCUCCAAUGCGAUGAAGUGCAACAACCGCAUCACCAGGCUUGCACAACCCCCUCGCUGUUGCUGACUUGAGAGCAGCUUCCAAAAUCACCUCUGUAGAUUCUGCAUCUGUGGCCUUGGCUGAUCCUUCUGCCAAAAGGGGAAUCAAGCCCCUAUAUAUCAGACUAUGCCUUGCAGGGGUCUCAUCACUACAUGCCCAGUCAAAUGAAUCAGUAGUCAGUACGGGAACAACCACGGAAAGGAUUGGGACAGCUGGCCGGUACUUGGCAACCAAUUUGGCUGUGGUCCCGCCACGUGUCAACACCACAAUGAGCUUUGCUUUGGCCUUGUUAGCAGUACGUACAGCCGAGGAUGCGAGACUCUCCAAUGGGCUCAUAGGAAGUGGAAUUGAUCUUAUCAUAUCCUUGAAGAUGGCACCAUAGUCAAGGGAGGAUUCUGCUUCAAUACAAAUUCGACGCAUUAUCUUGACUGCAAGCUCUGGAUAGGCCCCGGCUGCACUCUCUCCGCUGAGCAUAACACAGUCAGUGCCAUCGAGGACAGCGUUAGCAACAUCAGUUGCUUCCGCACGGGUUGGCCUAGGAGACUUGAUCAUAGACUCGAGCAUCUGAGUAGCAGUUACAACAGGCUUGCCAACAAGAUUGCACUUGUAUAUCAUCAUCUUUUGUGCUAGGAAAAUCUUCUCAACUGGAAUCUCCAUUCCGAGAUCACCACGAGCAACCAUGAAGGAGUCAGUCUCACGCAAGAUCUCAUCGAAGUUAAUUACUCCCUCCUGGUUCUCAACCUAACAAAACCAAAGGAAUCAAAUUAUUUAUUAUUUGAUUGAAAUAAAAAAUAAAAAAAACAAGAAGCAUGAUAAAGAAACGAUUAUAUCAGCUAAUAUCCUGGACAUGGAGAUGCUGAGAUGCAGUUGUGGGAAUAUAAGCUCGAUGAUGCCUCCCGCACAUGCAUGCGCUCUGUUAUGAACUCAAACAGAAUACAAAAGAGGGCAUUCUACCUUUGACAUUAACUGUAUGUGCUUGGCAUGGGGCCCAAGAACCUUGCGCACAUGAACAAGGUCGGAACCCUUGCGUACAAAAGAAAGGGCAAUCAUAUCAAUGUUGUUGGGAACACCCCAUUCCAAAAUGUCUUCCUCAUCCUUCUCUGUCAGUGUGGGAAGAUCCACAACAACGCCAGGAAGAUUAACAUUUUUUCUCUCGCCAAGCACUGCAGUGUUCUCACAACGGCACCUGACAGUUCCAGCCUGGGGAUCACAAGAUAAGACAGUGAGGGUGAUGGUGCCAUCUGCACACAAUAUGGUAUUCCCAGGCUUGACAUCCACAGGCAGUUUUUUGUAGCUCAUGGAGAUCGUGUCUGUGUCACCCUUGAUGCUGUAAUCAGUAGUGAUGGUGAUUUCCUGACCUUCCUUCAGCUGAAUAGGUUUUCCAUCUUUCAGGAAACCGGUACGAAUCUCAGGUCCCUAAGACAAAAGGUUAUGGAGGUACAUAAACAUGUGUUUGUGAGUACAAAGAAGAAGAAAGACAGGACAAAUAAGUGCUCUGCUUAAUUAGGUGCAAAUGCUUCAUUAUCUGUCCAAAAAAAGGGACUUGGAUAUCGAUCUCAUCAAGAGAGAAACUGAUGUGAUUGUAGAUGCCUAAUUGACAAGGAAAAAUGCAUCAUAAACAGCGUAUAAUACAGAUUUGAAAGGCAGGCAGAGAGUGGUAGAUGGAUGGAUGGAUGGAAGAAUUACGGUGAUUAAGAUUAGCAGUAAUAAAAUAAAAAUAAAAAUUGAGGUUAAUAGUAGGAGUAAUUAAUGGGGAGAGUGGGAGAUGGAAAAAAGAGUAGAGACCUUGGUAUCGAGCAUGACAGCAGAGAGGAUGUUGGUGUUUUGCAUAGCAAUCCUGAGAUUGUUCAAGGUCUCCUGGUGGUACUCGUGGGUGCCAUGGGAGAAAUUGAAGCGAGCAACGUUCAUGCCAGCUCUGAGAAGCUUCUCGAGCAUGGGGACGGAUCGAGAAGCAGGUCCCAGAGUGCAAACGAUCUUAGUCUUGGGGACACGCCCCUCUUCAUCAUCCAGGUGCUCCUUUAGGAGUCCUUCUAUGUCUAUGUUGGCCAUUUGAUUUUUACUUUAACUUCUGCCACAAAAACAAAUUAAUAUUUGUAUAUUUCUAUCAUAAAAAAAAAGACAUUUAUCUACCUAUCUAUCCAUGUAUGCAAGUAGAUCAAUUGAAGAAGAAGAAGAAGAAGAAGAAGAGAUGAUUGAUUGAUUGAUUGAGCUUCAACAACUUACUGUGAGAGAACAAGAAGGAAAUUAAUUAAUUAUGAAUAUGAAAUCAGAAGAAGAAGGAAAGGACAAGAAAUGGCGGUAAGUUUACCCAAUUCAAGUGCUGGGGGUAGCUGCUGCUGCUCCUGCUGCUCCUGCCCGUUUCUUCUCCUGUCUCUGUCCCUCUCUAUAUGUUAUCAUGUAAAGUAUUUGCUUAUAAAAUCCGAAACGGUGGUUGCUCUGUCUCUCUCUAAUCUCUAUUAUUCUAGUGGUUAUGAAAUGACGCUUGUUGCUGCUUGUGCUUGCACUCGUGCUGCUGACGCACAAGAAGCACAGCUAAACCACCUGAAACAAGAGAGACUUCAGUUAUUAUAGUCCGAUCAUUGAACAUUUAAUUUCUUCUUUAUUUUUAUCCAAUGAAGACAUGCAUAUCAGCAUAUACCAUUACCACGCAACGGAACAUUCCACAUUCCCUCUUUUAUUCCUUCCUCUUCAUUUACUGGACUAUAUUUUUCUUUUCUUUUCUUUUUUCUUGGUACAUUUAAAAAAAAAAAAAAAAACCCUACAGAACAGUCCUACACCGCAGUCUAGUACACGCAAGAUGAUGGAUCAGCGAUUCAUGAAUUAUUUUCGGACUCUAAAAUUUUUUUAGUGAAAUAAUAUAGCUUAGAGAUUAUUAAAUAUGCUUAACUCACGGGUAACAAUUGUUAUCUACAAUAUUCUUAGAUAGUAAAAUAGAAUGAUAUAAGAAAAGAAGAAAGAGGAAAAAAUACAUGAAAAGAAAAAAAAAAUUUGGAGACAUAUCAAAACUAUGAUAAUAGCAACAUUAAUACUAUUAAAAAAAUAUUGACGAGACAAAUCUAAUAACAUUAAACAAUAUCACAAACAGUGAAUAAAUUGGAUCUAAUGAGUCGUCCAAAUAUUUUGAGAUUUGUUUUUCUUUGAACAACUUAUAUGACUUACUCUAGCCACCGUUGAUAAUAUUUUUUAACGUUGUUGGAUUUAUUUUAUCAAAAAAAUUUGAUAAUAUUGUUAUUAGAAUUUCAACGUGUUUUUAAUGUUUUUUUUGUUUUUUUUUUUAUAAUUUAUGAAGAGAAAUGAGAGAGAACAAAAAUAAAUAAAGAAAUCACCAACAUCAUUGUCGGAGAGAUUUUUACUAGACAAUUCAAUGGCACAAUGAUUAGAGUAAACCACAGGGGUGAGUAAAAAAACCGGAAAACCGAUUAAACCGAGAAAACCGGAAAAAAAAAAACCGAAAAAAAAAACCGAAAAAACCGAUUAAUUUUUUGAAAAAACCGGCCGGUUCGGUUCGGUUUUAUAAACAAAAAACCGAAAACACCGAACCGAACCGAAACCAACAAAAAACCGAGCCAAACCGGAAAAACCGAGCCAAAACCGGAAAAAAACCGAGCCAAAACCGAGAAAACCGAGCUAAAACCGGAAAACCGAGCCAAACAACCGGUUUGCCCUAAAAAACCAAACCGAACCGAACCGAAACCGGUCGGUUUGACCCGGUUUCAGUUUUUUUUUUCAAAAAAAAAAUUUCGGUUUGGUUAUUUUUUUGAUAAAAACCGAACCGAACCAAAAAUAAUCACCCCUGGUAAACCACAUCGGCCAUUCAAAAACAAGUGAUUUCUAAUAUUUUUGGACAGCUCAUGUACAGUGCAGUUAUAAUUGGUAACCUUUCCUGGUGUUUUUGAUUAUCUCCUCGAAAACAUGAAGCAAAGCAAACAUCCACGUGGUAGAUUUUGAUUUGGGUGAAGUAUUAAGCAUCUUGGAAUGGGUUUUGGCAUUCAUAUGUUACUUGUCUUUUUGGUGACUGGUAAAGCUCCCUCUUGUGUUAACACUUUAUGAUAACCGGCUACGCCACGACCCAUCUCUCUAUUGAAAGAAACCUAGCCCAAAGACAAAUCGCACUAUAAAUCUCUCGCAUGGGCCUGACUAUUAACCCAAUAAUGCUUAUUCUCUAGAAAUUCGUAGCAGCUUCUUUUAAGAUCCACAAAAAGAUUGUAUUAUUAUUUAUUUUUUAAAAUAAUUUUUGUUUAAGAAUAUAUUAAAAUAAUUUUUUUUAUUUUUUAAAAUUUAUUUUUGACUGAGCUUUUAAUCUGAAAAUACAAAAAAAAUAAUAUUAUUUUAAAGUAAAAAAAAUAAAAAUUAAUUUUUUUCAAAAGAAAGCAGGAGAGAAGAUUCCGUUUCCAGUUCUGAACAAAAUCUCUCGAAAUCCAUUUUUCCCUCACACCAAACUAUCACUCCAUCAGCAGUGCUGAGCGCUUUUUGUCAGGAAAAAAAAAAGGAAGAAGAAGAAAAGAGGGUCCCAAACAGCAGCAUCAGUGAAAAAACAAUACGACUAUUAGCAACUAAGAAAGCAGUGUAACACUUGUGCAAGAAGUCUUAUGGAUCUAAGAACUAACACAAAAAGUUCUUUGUCUGAGAUAUUACAGUGUGAUAAGCAGGUUAACUUCAGUUGGUCAUUUUUUAUACACGUUUUGGUGGAAUGUAGGGCACACGCUCAUCUUCACAUAAAUUCUGCAAGGAGGCCAGCAUAAGGGUUAGUCCAGAUGGAGCGGAAUAUAAAAAUCAAAUAUAAACAAAUCAUUGGGUGCAGCAGACACCCACUAGCACAGGUAACGAUUUUACAGUGGUGCUACAUUCCAGUCUUGAUGUGCACAUUAUGCAAGAAGAUCCAUAGCAUUCCAGCUAAAAAGAGGAAAAGAAUUCAAAGAUAGAAGUUUCUGUGGUAAAUUCUCUUCUUCAGCUAUAAAGUAUUGGCGGCACUAAAGGUGAAUCUUUGACCUAUAUCUCAGCGUAACUCACAAAAAUCCUAUGACCGAUCCAAUGGAUAUAGUGAAAAAUCUAUUUUUUCUUUCAUAAUCCCAGUUGGGGGAAUGAAUGCAUCAUCAGCUUUUACCUUCAGGUAGCACGAGAAACAAAAAUACUGCCAGAUACAACUUUCAACUAAGAAGAUGAGGAGGAAAGAAUGAAAGUUCAGCUGCUCAUUGUCUGGGAAAAUACAAUUAAACAUGCACCAGAUGGCAUGACUAGUAAAAUAUAGGAUUAAAUGGUGCAAGCAGCAUGCUUUCAAAUUGGCACAAAGCUUAGCCAUGAUAGAGCAUACAGUGAACCCUUUUACAAAUUUCAACCUCCAAACAUAUAUACAACAUGAACUCCCAAACAUGUAUACAAUGUGAGAGGUCUCAAUGAAGUUUUGCACAUUCCAGCAACUAAGAGUGGCGAGUGGUAAUAUUUCACACUGACAUAAAACACUUUUUAUAUCUAACAUAGUAUCAACACAGAAAUUUUCCACAAACAGCCAAUGUGGGUGGAUAAAUUGAGCACGUCAUUAGCAUGCAAAUGUAGCACGAAGUUUAUGGUACUUUAUCUUAACUGGAAACAGUUACUGUCGGUUAACUAAGAUGCAAAAUUGAUGUGUAUAUUUAUCAAGCUUAAACAAAGCAUCUAUAAUGUACUUGGUAUGAUGAAUUAUACCUGUAAGUCCUCUGGAAGUGCCUCUGAAACAGCAAGUGUAUAACAACCAGGUACAAAUCUUCCUGAAACAGGUUUAAAAGAAUCAAGCAAAAAGAACCAAUUUUCUAAUAACAUAUUCAAAUCUAGAACAGUAGAUGGACAAAAAUCUUUACAAAGAAAAAAAGAAUCUACAGAAUCUAAGAAGGAGAAAUAUAUUGAGGUACUAAAGUAUCAAUGACAAUAUUGCGUGUCAAACCAUCCCUUGGAAAGAACAUGAAUUGCGUGCAUAGGCAUGCUUCUACAUCUAGAUACCUGAUCAAUCUAAUCCUAGUAAUGGAAUGCCCCCAAAAUGUCCAUGGUGAUGAGGGAAGAUCAAUUAGGAGAAUUUUCAAAGCAGAAAAGGAAAUGAAUUGGACUAUAGUAGUAUCAACUGAACAAUGUUCAGAAUAUCAAAAUUCCCAAAAUCCUUCACUUGUAUGAAUAUGCAGAACCUGUUGCACCACUAAAGACACUUCAACUAAUAGUUUAUCUGUGCUACACCUUGACACAAGUGGUGUUUGAUAAGAAGCCUCAACCAUCCUAACAACUCUCAAACCACACCAACUGAAUUGCCCUUCAUUAAAUAAAAAAAGCUUCACCCCACACUCAAUAUGUGUUGGAAUCAACGUGUGAAUACCAUAGGAAAGGAGCAUCAUGACAACUUACGCCUAAAGAAAAGAUUUCUUGUGAUAAUUAUUCAAAUGAGUUAGUGAAUCAGAUUGUGACUAAAGAGAGAAUCACCCUCGAAUCUCCUUGCAUGGUUUUAACUUUCUACCAUCUAAGCAACUAACUUUAUAACAUCUACGCAAGUCUGGAAGAAUACUACUUGGCCUCAAUCCUAUAACUAUUCAGAAUUAUGUCCUUGGAAGGUUGGAAACAGCUCCGAAAAUUCACAUAAGCUAACACAACAAACAAGUCAAAAAAGAAAAGAAAAGAAAAAACUGGGGAUCGGAAAGUAUCUGAAAGCAGAAACAAAAAGGAAGAAAGAGAGUCGGAGAUUAUUGUUUAACAUACCAAUUCUCAACCAGCGAGCAGCCCAGCUUCUACUCGGAUCCAUAACAGAAAUUAUCCUGCAAUAAUGUUAGAAAAAGUAAGGCAUGAAAUAGGAUGAGAAGAGAAGAAAUUAAAAAAAUAGAGAAAAAUAAUUAUUGGAAGAAGGAAUUGUUGUUGAGAUAAUAGAAAAGGAAGAGAAAGGAGGAUGAUUAGCCUGCCCGGUAAAGUUAGGAGUUGUGCAAUCAACGACACGCUCAUGAUCUUCGUCCAUCUUAAAAAAGGGACAAUUCUCGCAUCCCGACUCUCUGAACUGCACAUUUUUAUUUUUAAUAUUUUACCGAUAAAUAAUAAGUCCAGAACCCUAAUGAGCAACAAUCUGUACAAAGAAGGAGAAGAGCGAAAAACAAGAAGAGAACCUGGUCGUAAGUUUUGACAAGGCGGCAACGAAGACAAGCUCUGAGCUCAUGUCCAAAGCUCGUCGGGAUUUGGGCUGCUGCACUUCCCAUUCUAUUCUUCUCUGCUUCUCUGGUGUGAGUUGUGACUAGGGAGGGGAGAAAGAACGAAAAAAGAAAAGAAAUAAAAAAACAGUUGCGGGGAUAAGAAGACGAAACAUGUCGUCCAUCAAAACGCGAAAGACACGUCGUCCAUCUUCUAAAGCCUGCGUCGCACCUAUGCAUUACUACUCUUUAAUUCAUUUUGGGUCUGCAAUUCAAUUGGCCUGGAUUCGAAAGCCCGCUUCAGCACUUGACUGGUGCCAACCCCCAGACCACUUAGGAUCCGCUGAUAAUCAAAGUGUGCGAGUCCUUUGGUGGUGAUGCAAAGGUAAGGGUUCUUUUGCAAGGAAAUAAAGAUGACAAUGGAUUUUUGCAAAUAAGAAAAUAAGGAUGAUUAUGGAUAUUCACACAGAUUUUUAUUUUAUUAAUAGUCAUACUCUAUCUAUCAAGUUUUAUCUGAUUCAGAUAUUCAUUAUCUAUUAAAUAGUAUUUAUCAUUUGAAAUGAAUUAAAAUUAUAAUAUAUAUUUGAAGUAUAUAUACAAAUAUGAAAUUGCUGGAUUAUAAAUAAUAUACAAUCUUACAUUCUAUGUCAAUAUUAGAGCAUGUGUAAAUUAUAUUAAGUUCUAAGAAAUAUAAAUAUUCUACGUGUGUGUAUCUCAAGUUGAAUUUGGAAUAAAAAAUUACUACCUAGUCUUGAAUAAAAAAAUCUUUUAUUUUUUUUUUAGGAGUAACCUUGCAAAUAAAAAAAAUACUCUCUGGUAAGGUUUUUUUUAUUAUUAUUUCUAUCAUUAUAGAUUAGUUCUAGGGGUGUUAUUAUAAUUAUUAUAUAUUAAAUAUUAUUUAAAAAUUGUUGGCGUGUGCACUGCACAUAUCAGCAUGUAGGUGGCUUUCAAGCUGUUAAAACGACACGUAUGGAGCUAUCCAGCCACCAAAUGAUGCCUUCUGAAAGAUCAUGACACUCUAUACAUGAUGGUAUGACGUGUUUUUUAAAAUUCAAAACGGUUUGUCGCCGGUGAUCAGUUUUUUCCUUCUUUUUCUAUCUCUCUUACUCGAGUCUUGCACCGGCCCCUACAAAAUUUAAAGACAACCCCUUCAAUAUUUCUCUAUUGAUAUUCAGUCCCUAUACUUUUUAUUACUUUAUUUUAUAACAAGCUAUAAAAUUAUAGAUGCUGUUUAAUUUCAUCCCUUUACUGUUUUUUAAAUUUAUUAAAUUACAAAUGUUUUUCAAUUUUACCCCCUAUGAUUUUUUUUUAUCUUUCAAACAUGGUCCUCGUUAUUUUAAUUGUUACUUAUGUUGAUUGAGGUCGUUUUUGUUUUCAAAAUUCAUCAUUCUUAGGCAUGUUUACACCAUUCUUUUUAUUUUUAUCUUCAUUCUUUUGUCGCUUGUUUUUUCAUUUUUUUUUCUUUACACCUUUUUCUUAAAAAAUAAUUAUACAAAUAUUAAAGAGUUAGUAUUUUACCGUAGCAAUUACAAUAUUGUCCCAUUUUUCUAGAACAUUAAAAAUUAGCUUGAGAUCUUACAUGUUUUUAUUAAUGCAUAUGAUAUUCGGUAUGUUUUAUUAUAUGUAAAUAUCAACUUUUUAUUCAUAGUUAUAUUCUUGAUGCGGUGUCAAAAAAACUUGUGAAUAAUACCUAAACAUUAAUUAUUUUGCAUUAGAAAAAAAAUUACUUGACCUGCCACUAAUGGCUCGAAUUGACAUAUUAACACUUUUUUUUCAUUUAAUAGCACUGACGAUUCUUGAUUUAUUUAAUUAAAUACAUGUAUAAUUUUUUUAAUUUAUAAUAAAAAAAAUUAUUGUAAAAAAAAUCAUUUAAAAAGUUUAUAUAUUUAUUUUAUUUUCUUACAAAACAAAAUUAUCUUGUUUCGAAACACGAUUCAAAUAAUUAGUCUAUAUUGAAAUACAAUAAGAAACAUGGCUACAAAUAUGCAGGGGGGGGGAUGUCAUCCAUCCAUUCAUACCUGGUGCAUUCAAGGUAUCUCAAAUGGAUGUGCUAGAUGGAAAGCCAUGAGUAAAAAUUUACGAGGAAAAGCUAUAUUGACGAGUUAAAAUAGCAUUGUCAGUUAGGUGGUCCGUGCUAGAAUUAUUAUUUUUUACAUAAACAAUAUCGAGAAAAGCAAAGAUUUAAGAACCUUGGGUAUGACUAUAAUACCUGAUCUAAGAGCCUAGAUUUGGAUCUGGCUGCAACGUCAUACCCAAGAGUCCUAGGUCGGUCUGCAAAGUCAAACCCAAAAGUUAUGGGCUGGCUGUACUACUGGACCCCAGAGUCUUGUCUUGGGCCUGGUGAGGCUGCGAGACCGAAGUGACUUGGAUUUGACGCCCCUUUUCAGCCCCAAGUUGCCUAGGUCUAAAAGGGGAUGUCAUAUCCAAGUUAAUAACGAAAAUAAUAAUAAUAACAAUAAUAUUAAACUUGUAUGACCCAAGUUUUUAUAGUUUUUAAUCCCUUCAAAUAAAUUGAUGGUUUUUCUUUAACAGUAAUAAUAUAUAUAUUUUAAAAUUUAUUAAUGAUAAUGAUAAUAAUAAUAACAAUAAACUUGCUUGACCUAAGUUCUUAUAAUUUUUAAUCUCUUCAAAUCAAAUUUAUGCCUUUUCUUCAAUAUUAAUAAUAUUUUGUUUCAAAUUUAUUAAUGAUCGUAAUAAUAAUAAUAAUUUUUAAUUUUACCCUUUAAAUCAAAUCGUAUCUCAAAUAGAUGUGCUAGAUGGAAAGCCACGAGUAAAUAUUUACGGGGAAAAGUUAUAUUGACGAGUUAAGAUAGCAUUUUCUUGUUAGGUGGUCCGUGUUAUGCCGUGAAUUAAUUUUUUUUUACAUACAAAAUAUCAAGAAAAACAAAGAUUUAAGAAUAUUGGGUAUGAAUGUAAUGUCUGACCUAAGAGCCUAGAUGUGGGUCUGACUGCAACGUCAUAUCUAAGAGUCUUAGGUCAGUGUACAAGGCCAGACCCAAGAGCUGGGGGCUGGCUGUACCGUGAGACCCCAGAGUCUUGUCUUGGGCCUGGCAGGGCUGCGAGACCGGAGUGACUUGGAUUUGGCGCCUCUUUCUAGCUUCAAGCUGUCUGGGUUUGAAAGGGGAUGUCAUAUCCAAGUUAAUAACGAAAAUAAUAAUAAUAAUAAUAACAACAAUAAUAACAAUAAUAAUUGAUUUUACCUUUUAAAUCAAAUCUGUGUUUUUUUUUGCGAAGAUAAUAAUAUUUGUUUUUUGAAAUUUAACAAUAUUAACGAAUAUAAUAAUAUUAAUAAUAAUAUUAAACUUGUCUGACCAAGUUUUUAUAGUUUUUAAUCCCUUCAAAUAAAAUUGAUGGUUUUUCUUUGACAGUAAUAAUAUUUUUUUUUCAAAUUUAUUAAUGAUAAUGACAACAACAACAACAACAACAACAAUAAUAAUAAACUUGUCUGACAUAAGCUCUUAUAGUUUUUAAUCUCUUCAAAUCAAAUUUAUGAUUUUUCUUUAAUAUUAAUAAUAUUUUAUUUCAAAUUUAUUAAUGAUCGUAAUAAUAAUAAUAAUUUUUAAUUUUACCAUUUAAAUCAAAUUCAUGGUUGUUUUUCAAUAUUAAUAAUAUAUAUUUUUUCAAAUUUAUUAAUUAUAAUAAUAAUAUCUAUAAUGCAAAUAAUAAUAUUUUUAAUAUUAAUAAUAAUAUUAAACUUGUUUGACCUGAGUUUAAGUAGGUGUGACUGCAACGCCAGACCCAAAAGUCUUGGGUCUGGCUGCAACGUUAGAUACAAGAGCCUUGAGUCCCUCUUAAACAUCAGACCCAUGAAUUCUGGGUAUGGCUACAACGGUAGACCCAGGAUCCUUGGGUCUGGACGUUGAACCCAAGAGCUGCGGGUCUAAACACCGAACCCUAGAGCCUUGGAUCUUGAUAUCGAAUCCAAGAGCCUUGGGCCUGAUGGGGCUGCAAGACCGAAGUGACUUGGGUCUGAUGCCCCUACAAGGCCCAAGCAACUUGGGUCGGGCACCCCUUUCCAACCCUAAGUUACUCGAGUCUGGAAGGGGAUAACAGCCUCGAGUUAAUAACGGAAAUAACAACAACAAUUUAUUUUACCCUUCAAAUCAAAUCUAUGUUUUUUUUCGAUGGUAAAAUAUUUUUUUCAAAUUUAAUACUAUUAAUGAAUAUAAUAAUAUUUAUAAUAAUAUUGAACUUGUCUGACUCAAGUUUUUAUAGUUUUUAAUCUUUUUAAAUAAAAUUUAUGGUUUUUCUUUGUUAAUAAUAAUAUUUUUUUCAAAUUUAUUAACGAGGAUGAUAACAACAACAACAACAAUAAUAUUAAACUCGUCUGACUCAAAUUCUUAUAGUUUUUAAUCAAUUCAAAUAAAUUUUAUGGUUUUUCUUUAAUAGUAACAAUAUUUUAUUUCAAAUUUAUUAAUGAUAAUAAUAAUAAUAAUUUUUAAUUUGACCAUUCAAAUCAAAUAUAUGGUUGUUUUUUAAUAUUAAUAAUAUUUUUUUAAAUUUAUUAAUUAUUAUUAUAAUAAUAUUAUUUAUAAUAAAAAUAAUAAUAUUUAUAAUACAAAUAAUAAUAUUUUUAGUAUUGAUAUUAUUAAUACCCACCCACGCUGGGCUUGGUUGGGGCGCUAGGCCUAGGCAACCUGGGUCUGGUCGGGGGUCAGACCCAACCAAUCUCAAACACAAAAUCCUUCACCUGUCCCCUGAAUCCAGUAAAAUCCAAAAGAAAUAAUUAAAAUAAACAAUUCAGCGUCACUUGUACCAACCCAACACAGUGACAAGGCAACUAUAUUUACACAGAAUGAAGAGAAACACCAAUGAAACCACUGCCAUCCCAUGGGAAAUCAACCAAAAUCAGGAGAUAUCACGCAACCAGGUAUAUCGCAGUAAGCCCUGAAUCCAACUACCACCCCCCACUGAUAAUAAACAAUCCAACAACCCACAACACACCAUGCACACCAUGAAAAAAUAGCAAAAAACAAACCACCCACAUCUUAUCGUGAGAACCAACCAACUUUUUUUCGAUAAACAUUGCUCAAAUUCUUAGUAAAAGCACUCACAAUCCAGAGUAAAAUACUGAUUUUUUUAAUUUUUUGUUAUAAUAUGCUAAAGAAUUAUUUGUCAAAAAUAUUAAAAGUCUGUUUGAUAUAUUUUUAUGAAUAGAAAAUUGAUUGAAAUUGUAUUAAUUAUUUAUAAUUAAUAAAUAAUUUUAUUAAUAUAAAUUAUAAUUAACUCUUUAAAAUACACAUAAAAAAAUAAUUAUAUUUACUCUAUUAAAAAAAAUCAUAAUACCAAUUUGGUUCUCGCAUCUACCCUCGGAGAUGCUCUUACCCAUUACGCUUUAGUCUAUCCUGUCACUGGCGACAGGCAGACUAGUAGUAGAAUAUUGUUCAACUGCUUGGCUUGCUACUCUCUCUUCCGACUGUACCCACGUUCCCUGCCUAGAGUAGUAAAGCAGCUCAUAUAUAAUACCAGUGAAGAUGAUGGAGAACUGUGCUAAUGGUAGUAGUAACUGUUUACUAGCAGUGUGUCUCCUGUUACUCAUCUCCUCUUCUCCAUCAUCAUCCAUCAGGGGUAGCCCCGGCGUAACCAGUGUUGAUUCGGUUUCAAGAGUAGAAAAAAACAGACUUCCGUCGAACUGGGAUAGUAGUAGAAGAAAUCUGCUUGCAAAUGGUCUUGCCGACACUCCUCCCAUGGGGUACGCACCUGCUUCCUACUACUUCACUCCCCUAUGUAUACCUGUUUACUUGUGUCCUGAUCAACCUGUCUCUCUUGCUUCUCUCUGUCUUUUUUAUUUGGUAAUCUUUCAGUUAUUGAUUGGGCUUCUGAGGUUGACAGCGCAUUUGAACAGUAUCAGGAUAUAUACAUAGAUAUCUAUUCAUGUAUAAUUGAAUUGAUUUCCCCCAAUCUAUUAGUCUUCGAUUAUUUCGGCACUUACUUUAUCCUUCAAAUCGUUGGCUGAACACUAGUCUCAUCAUCAUGCAUCACUUUCACUCCAUCAAACAACUACUCGUACCAUGAUCAGGCCCCUGCCCAAAGAAAAAAAAAACACUGCUGCCUAAUAAUUGGGAACCGAUUUGGAUUUUCUUGUCAAAGCACGUUUUUUUGGUUUUUUACAAGUUUCUUUUUGUCGCCUCUGUGCGUGCUUGAUAACGCUGUUCGAGUUGCAAUUAAAUCGAAGAAUAUAAAAUCAAUGCUUUUCGCAUUUCUAACGGCACUUGGCCAUCAUACCAAGUUGCCAAUUCCACUAAUUGCCAAUUAGCUAUGCUGAUAUGGUAGUAGUUAUUGGUUACCAUAUAGUUGGUAUUUUAAUUUUAAUUUGCUGUCCUUGGUGAUUUUCCACACUCAUUUAUUGGUUCUCGUCUUGAUGUAGAUGGAAUAGUUGGAAUCACUUCAAUUGCAAAAUUGAUGAGAAAAUUAUCAAAGCGACUGGUGAGGGUGACUUCUUUUGUUCUCCAUCUAAAUCUAACUGUGCAUUAUGUUUUUACUUGGUCUAAAAAAGUGAUUUUGUCCAAAUUAUCAUAAGCUUAUACUACUAUAUAAUGCACCGUGCAAUUCCUAAAGUCUCAGGAGUCGCUUCCGUGAUAACUAUAUAUACUAUCUUGCUUAUUUUGUUGACGUUACAGCUGAUUUCCUGGUUUCCACCGGCCUGUCUAAACUUGGCUACACAUAUGUUAACAUUGGUAUGUGUGUGUUUCAAUUACCUUCUUUCUUUCCGUGAUCUUUGUCUUUCAUGCCUUGCUUGAUGUAAUAAACCAGCUAACGAGAUGAUGCAUUUAUGUUAGACGAUUGUUGGGCUGAAAUGGCUCGUGAUGGCAAGGUAUAUAAGCAUUUGUUUCAUCUCUUCUUUUAUUUUCAUUUUUCUUCAAUAUAAAAGCUUUUUGCUUGUGAAAUAUUAUAAUUAAAAACAUUUAUUUUCAACUUGUUAAAGAGUUUUACUGGCUCUAAACUGUACUGAGUUUUGAGUUUCAGGGUAAUCUAGUGCCUAAGAAAUCAACAUUUCCUUCUGGUAUUAAAGCCCUGGCAGACUAUGUUCACAGCAAAGGUCUUAAAUUAGGAAUCUACUCAGAUGCAGGGUAAUGCCUUUCUACCCUGUCCGCUCUAAACAAAAAUAUAUGACAUACUCAGAAAUAGUAUCUUGGUAGAUGAAUUAGUCCACCACAUAUCUUGCAGGUAUUUUACUUGCAGCAAAACCAUGCCUGGCUCACUUGGUCAUGAGGAACAAGAUGCCAAGAGUUUUGCUUCAUGGGUAAACAACUAGAGAACCCUUUUCUUUUCUUUAUGUUUAGGAAAUCCAACUAAAUCUUACACAUGUGAAAGACGAUCCUAUUUGAAUCAAUUCACUUUGUUUGCAGGGUAUUGACUAUUUGAAAUACGAUAACUGUAACAAUGAUGGUACAAAGCCAACCGUUAGGUGAUCCGAUCAUGUCUUUAGUUACAUUACAUGGUUAAAUGUAUUGUGCUUCUGUUGUUUGCUGUUAAAUUAACACUUCAGGCUUCCACGUGACAAAAAUCUUAAUUUCAUCUUUGUAGGUACCCUGUAAUGACCCGCGCUUUGAUGAAAACUGGCCACCCUAUAUUUUUCUCACUUUGUGAAUGGUAACCUGAUAUAUCAUGACUAUGGAUUUCAUAGCUCAUUGUGCAAUUUUCACAUUUGUCUUGGUUUGACGUCUUUUUUUCCUUGUUUGUCAGGGGAGACAUGCAUCCUGCAACGUGGGGUGCUAAGGUAGGAAAUAGCUGGAGGACAACUAAUGAUAUUUCUGAUACAUGGGACAGGUAAAUCGUACUUGAAUUAAGUUUGUCUUUGGUUUGUAAGGUCCCGGUGUUUAAAUACUAAACAAAAACUCUUUGCUCAUUGGCAGUAUGGUUUCAAGAGCAGACAUGAAUGAGGUCUAUGCAGAGCUUGCAAGGCCUGGUGGUUGGAAUGGUUUGUAUUUUCUGCUAGUGAGAAAAUGUUUUAGAAGCUGAGACAAGUUUUAGCAAAUUUUGCUUAUCUUUGUUUGAGGUCUGUUUUCUCUUUUUUAACACAGAUCCUGACAUGCUUGAGGUGGGGAAUGGAGGGAUGACAAAAGAUGAGUACACAUUGCACUUCAGUAUUUGGGCCAUUUCAAAGGUAUUCUAGGCAACGUCUUCCUUUCAAUGUCCUGCUUUACGUGAGCCAAUAUUCUGGGAGAACUGUUUCAGUGAAUUUUAGUUGUAUACAGGCUCCCCUUCUUCUUGGUUGUGAUGUGAGGAACAUGACGAAAGAGACAAUGGAUAUCAUUGCCAAUAAGGAGGUUAUUGCUGUUAAUCAAGGUAAUCAUAUUGUCCUCUGCAUUUACAUGUUCAUCUUACACGUCCAUGUCUGCAUGAAUGAAAUCCUUAGUUCACUAAAUGGCGGUUCCUCUUGACCAUUUAUGAUAAAGAUCCACUUGGGGUACAAGCUAAGAAGGUUAGGAUGGAAGGUGAUCUUGAGGUAAACUUAUUGGUCCAUAUUAGUUAUACCAUGUUUUACUUAGUGUAGAAUCGUUGAGCAUAAUCUUUGUUACGCCAUUUUUGUGUCUCAUCAGAUCUGGGCAGGGCCUCUCGCGGGCUAUAGGGUAGCUGUUCUACUAGUCAACCGAGGCCCCUGGCGUAAUUCUAUUUCCGCCCAGUGGGAUGACAUUGGAAUUCCUCUCAACAGUAUCGUCAAAGCAAGAGAUCUCUGGGAGGUAUUUAUAUAGUAAUUUUAACUGUAUGUUGUCAUGUUAAUGCCCUGGUUCUGUUGGGUACGAGUGUUUUGUGUUGGGUUAAUGGAACUCGUUGAACAUUUUGUCUUUCAGGAUCUCUAAUAUUUGGGUAUCUCUUAUGCAGCACAAGACCUUGAAAACUCAUUUUGUAGGGAACCUGACAGCCACCAUGGAUUCUCAUGCAUGCAAGAUGUACAUCUUGAAGCCCAUUUCAUAGAGUGCAGCUUAGCAGCAUCUUUGGCACUGGAAUUUCUAUGGUGCAAUCGGUUUAAUUCUAUUUUUUGGGUGCACAACAGGGGACUAACCCUCAUUUCCAAAAACUAUGUUUGCUUCUCCUAAUCAAAUAGACAUGUUUGGUUUUUCAAUGAAAUAAUCAUCUUUUGUCAAUUAUAAGUUACAUUGCAUUGAGGAUCUUUUGUUCAACCUUUGAUACGGACUUCUAUCUGAGAAGCUCAUAGCCAUCAGAGCACAUUGCAGCUGGCCUUCUCUAAGAGCAGAACAUCUUUCCCAUGUCAUUUUGAAAAGUAUAGAAAGCUUAGGCCUGUACCUAUGCAGGAAUUGAGGAUAUCGAUACGUUUCUCAAUCAUUGUGCAGCAGCAGGCCUCGAAGGAUCAAUUAAUCAAAGCCAAGUUUCCAAAAAGAUCCCUUCUACUGUAGUUUUGUUUCUCAAAAAAUGUUGAAAUAUGCACAACUGUUGGGAAAUUCCAUCCUAGACAUAUCGGAGCGCUUGAAGUUAACAUUUUAUAUUUGAACGAAUAAAUAUGUUAAUUUCAAAUCAUCAUUCUUAAAUCCAAGGACUCUCUUGACAAUGACUGGUGGAAGAGUGCCCGCUCCUAUUUCUAAUGGGCUAAUAAUAAUUGGGUCCAAUAUAAAACUAGGCUGGGUCCAUUAUAAUGGGAGGAAAGAAAAGAAGCACUAACAUUACCGAUAAAGAUAAAGAAUGCUUUGUUUCCAUUAUAAAGAAGGAGAACAGCGGUGGAGUACGAGGAAGAGAGAGAAAUGCCCGUGUCUUUGUUGCAGAUGCCGGGUAUGGGUUUGGGUCUGGGAUUGGGUUUGAGGUGGGGAUGGGGAUCGCGCCCACGUAACAUUAACAACAAUUGCGAUACAACUACCACUAUAAAGAAGAAGAAGCUACUGGUUGUCGCUUCUUCGGAUGAUGGAAUUGGAGAAAAGAAGACAAAAAGAGAUGAUAACGGCGGCUCUUUGGUGCUCUCCGGAACCACAGCGAGAGGACGAAGAUUGCUCAAAGUUCGUGAAGAUAAAAGGAAACGCGAAUACGAUCGCCUUCACAACUAUCCUGCAUGGGCCAAGUAAUUAAGUCUCUCCCUCCCCCUCUCCCUCUCAAUUAAAUUAUUAUAUUACUGAUCCAUCGCUGGCUACAACAUUGCAGAGUUCUUGAAGAUGCUUGCAAAAGUGACGAGGAACUCCGUGCCCUUCUUGGUGACAGCAUAGGCAACCCGGAACUGAUGAGGCAAAGAGUGGAAGACAGAGUGAGGAAGAAAGGCCGCAGUAACUUCCACAAGUCUAAAACGGGUUCUGUAGUUUCCUUCAAAGUCAGCUUCCGAGACUUCAACCCUAUUGAUUCCUACAUUUGGUUUGAGUUUUACGGCUCUCCUUCUGAUCAGGAUGUUGAUAUUAUUGGCACUGUCAGUACUUAUUGCUAACCUUCUAAUUCUAAUCUAUAAUUUAUUUACGUUUAAUGAAAUAUGAUCAGUUUACUUGCGUCCUUGCAGGUCAUUCAAUCUUGGUAUCUAAUGGGACGUUUGGGUGCUUUCAAUUCUUCCAAUUUGCAGGUAUACUAUUUGCUGCUCAACGAUUAAUACAUCUUCCAUGGAUCUAUUUUUGUUUCAUUUCAUCUCAUCUCAUGUGUGUCCUUGUUAUCAAACUUUGUGUUUCUCUUAUAGUAAUAUAACCUUGUCCUUCCUGUUAUCUUGUCUUGGCAUCUACUUGUUGCUUUUACAUGUUUUUAACUCUGCUUGAACUGCUGUAUCCUUAAGUUAUGUCAUUUUAUUCAUGCUUAAUGAGCACAUUGCAAGAUUUUUCACCUAUCGAUUAUUGAUUAAUGGUUGCAGAACUGUGAUUGGAUUAACUGUUGUUUUGAGAUGCAAUUUCUACUUCCCUACUCCCACUUUAUCAGAUGGAUGCAAUUAGAUAAAUGGAUAGAUUUCUUCUCUGGUUUCUUUCUCAGCCUUAAAUGAAAUUCAAAUAUGUUACUAUCCACAUUGUUGGCAGUUGGCAAAUUCAUCAAUGGAGUAUGAUCCACUCUAUGAUGCAGAUAAGGGCUUCAAAGUGAUGCCAUCAUCAUUUCAUGAUAUCAGUGAUGUUGAGUUUCAGGAUAACUGGGGCCGUGUUUGGUACGACUUCUUUGCCUUUUUCUGACAGCGAUCAUACCAUAUUUCUUACAUAACUGUUACAUGUAGAAGAUAUCUGAAAUCUCAAAUGCGUUGUAACAGGGUAGAUCUUGGUACGUCAGAUUUUUUUGCCAUCGACGUGCUCCUCAACUGCUUAACUGUAUUGAGUUCAGAGUAAGACCGAACAUGAUGUCUAGUUUACUCGAAAUCACCUUGUUCACCAAUUCAAACUUCUAACUGGCUUGCUCCUUUUUGUCUUUCCUUUAUGGCAGAUAUUUAGGUAUUCAACAAGUAGUUUUUGGGGGUCGCCGAAUAGGCGAUUGGGAAGAAGGGAUGACAAACCCAGAAUAUGGAUACAAGUACUUCAAAGUCUAAAAGCAAACCUUGUUCAAGUCUUUCCCUUGCACACGCAGUUUUCUUUCUCUUACUGGAAAGUCAUCAUCCAGCAUGGCAUGAGAGAUUAUAAGAUGAAUAUAAAGUAUGAUGGUGGAAUUCAAGUUCAAGUUGCAGUUGAAAGAUCUCUUAGAAACUGUGAACGAAUUUUCUUUUUCUAGAUAGUGAUUUCGGCUUGUCGGUGUCGUCACCAUUUCCAUGCUCCAAGACCACAUCACCUUUAGAAGAUCUUUCCAGUUUCCAUGGGGAACUGGUAAGGGAACCUUUGAUAGCCCGAAAAAUGUGAUGGGAUGGAUCUCUUUGACACUUUUGUUUCACUUGGUGCUGCGCAUAGAGAGACAUGAAAGCACAUGUUUCAAAUUGAAUUGUGAAUUAUGUCUCGUUGUUUUUUAAAAUAGUUUAAAUGAGAAGAAUGACUAACUUCCAUCCUACAAGGUAGAAAAUUAUAUGAUUAAACAUGCUAACUAUUCAAGUAACUUAGCAUUAGAAAAUUAUAUGAUUAAACAUGCUAACUAUUCAAGUAACUUAGCAUUAUGGGUAUUUGGGACUUCUUCCUGUUUAGAUAUGUUAGCGUUGUGUUUUUUUUUAUUAUUGUUAUUGUGAUAAAAUAUUGUUCCUUUAAGUUCCUUAAAACCCAACAUGUACAUAUUUUCUCAUUUUACCUUCUAAAAUUUGACAUCAAUGAAAACAGACGCGAGAAAGUGAAUUUACUGCGUGGUUUGAAAGCAUUUGUCAGGGAGGAGCGUUUUGCCCUUUUUUUUCCUCGCUUUUAGCCAGUUUGCUAUAAAGCAAAAUCUAAAAUAGCUUAGGAAUACACUAAUUAGUUAAUUAAUUAGUUUUAAUAGUUUCAUUUAUUUUCUCAAAGAUGUUUGAUAGCAUGUACUUGGUGUUUGGAAGUCAAGAUAGCUUGUGACUAGUACCUGCAUAAGAUUUUCUUUGAAGGAGGUAGAGACUCAAGGUAGCUUAUGACUAAUACCUAUAGAUCUUCUUUGAUGGAGAUAGAGACUCUCUAAUGCUUAAAUAAAUAUUUUUUUUAGUGAAAGAAAAUGCAAGAAUAUCUUAGAGAGAGUUGUUCUGAAUAUAUAUGUGUGUGCGCGCACGCGCGCAGUAGAGAAUGAAAAUUAUGAACCUUUGAUUUUAAGGUUUCAUGGUGUAUUUAUAGCCCACGAGUCUUGUCUUUUUGUGAAGAGGAAGACUUGAAGUGUAAUUUUACCCUGAUAACAUUUAAUGAGGUAUAAAUAUCAUUUACAUUCAUAUUAAUGUUUGAUAGAUUUAUGAUGGAUCCCUGGAGGAAUUUUAUACACCUAAAAUGUGUAAGGAGACUAGGGUCUAAGACGUCAGAUAUAACUGAGCCCGUGAAAACUGAGCUUUCUCCUAGGCAGAGAAAGAUCAUCUUUUUGGGCGUGCCCCAGGUAGGAUUGUCAUCCUCUUGGGCGUGCCAACGAAGGAUGAUCAUCUUCUUGGGUGCGCCAACAAAGGAUAAUUGUUACCUUGUAUUUGUUGAACUGCUAGUUCCAAGUGUCUUGGGUCUGACAUGUUUGCCAGACUCACGUUACCUUGAAUUUGGUAGAUGACCAAGUCCAAGUACUUUGGGUCUAGCAUGUUCGCUAGACCCACAUUACCUUAUUCUCUUAGGCGUGCCAUGCGAUAGUCAUUCUUUUGGGCGUGCCAAGAGAGGAUGUAGUUAUUUUUUUAGGCGUGCUAAGUCAGGAUGGUCAUUCCCUUGGGCGUGCUAAGGGAGGAUGAUUACUACCUUUGACUUGGCUAACUGUCAAGUCCAAGUGUCUUGGAUCUGCCAUGUUUGCUAGAUCCAUGUUACCCUGAACUUGGUAGAUGGCUAAAUUCAAGUAUUUUGGGUCUCGCAUGUUUGUCAUAUCCACAUUAUCUUGGACUUGGUUGAUUGCCAAGUCCAAGUACCUUGGGUCUGGCAAUCAAACUCAUGUUACCUUCGACUUGGCUAAAUGCCAAGUUCAAACAUUUUGGGUUUGACAUUUCGUCAGAUCCACAUUACCUUAUUUAUUUGGGUGUGCCAAGAAAGGAUUGUCAUUCUUUUAGGCAUGCCCAAGGGAGGAUGCACAUUUCCUUAGGCAUGCUUGGGGUUUGACACAUUGCCAAGUCCAAUCGUGUCUGGGUCUGGCCAGCGUCAAACUCGGCAUUUCUAGAGCUUGACACACUACCAAACUCAGUCACUUCUAGGUCUGGCUAGAGCCCACGUCUUCUUUGGGCACGCCCAAGGGAAUUACCACGUCCUCCCUUGGGCACGCCGAAGGGGGUAAUCAUCCUCUCUUGGGUCUAGCCUAGGGGAAGAGCUCAGUCUUCAUGGGCUCGACUACAUCCGAUGUUUUGGAUCUUAAUCUCCCUAUACUUUUUAGAUGUAUAAACUUUCUCUAGGGAUCUUUUGUAGAUACUAGUCAUAAGCUACCUUAGCCUACUAAACACUAGGUAUAUACUAUCAAAUAUCUUGGCCAAGAAGAAAUGAAUGAGAUUACUAGGACAAAUUGAUUAAUCGAUUAUCUAACCUGGAAACCCUAUUCUUAAAUUACUUGGAUUUUUUGGGACUUCAUCACAAAGAAAGGAUUCUUAUUCCAGUAGUUAACUUUAUACGAGGUAUAAAGUGGAUUCCACUUCUGCCAACAAGAUGAAAUAUUAUAUGAUACGAGAUGGAUUGAGGGGUGAGUUGAGAGUUAAUAUGUGCGUAUAUGUAUCGAUUUAAAGCACAAGCAAGUCGUAGUCAACUGCCUUAAGUCGUCGUGGACCCUGCCAUCUAUUCAACCCCCGAUGCAUCAUGUAAUGUGUAUGUGAAGCGAGUUGGAAUCAUAGAGGACCUGAGGAUCUUGUGGAGGUGCCUAGUUGAUACUUUAAGAAUGUGUUUUUGUAGUUGAAUUUAAUUUUUAAAAUGUUUUUUUACUUUACAAAAUAUCAAAUUGAUGUUUUAUUAAAUAUUUAUUGAUAUUUAUCUGUGAUUUUGAUGUGUUGUGCCAAAAAAAAAACAAAUUUAAAUAAAACAUUAUUUUUAUAAAUUUUCAAUUCAAAAACACUUUUGUAAAGUAACUUACACCAUAUUAUUUAACACACACUUCAUACUCUUUGAUCAUGGGCUUGAUUUUGAUUAUAUUAUUUAACACACACUUCAUACUCUUUGAUCAUGGGCUUGAUUUUGAUUAUAAAUUAUUAGUAUCAUGCCUAAGUUGUUAUGAAUAUUUUUUAAUAUAUAUUUUUAUUUAAUUACAUGACAGUUAAAAUAUAAAUUAUAAUGGUUAAAAUAUAUAUUUUUUACUUUUUUUGUUCUCGUUCAUGUGAUUUUUUUUACAAUGACAUUUUUUUUAUUAGCAACAUAGUUUAUUAAAUAAAAGCUAAUGAUGAUUAAAGAAUUUUUCAUAAAAUUACAUGACUUGAAUUAAAGAGGAAAAAAUAUAUCAUUUAAAUAAAAAAAUCACCUUUUGUAUUCACAUGUUUUGUUUAUUUUACAAAAAUAUAUAUUUUUUAAGAAAAAUAAAUAAAAAUUUAUUAUGAUGAUUAAAAUAAUUUUUAAUAAAAAGAACAUGAAAGUAUUAUUUUCAGGCACUUGUAUCAACAUAUAUAAGAACAAAGAAUUUGGAAGAAUUAUAUAAAUAUUUACAAUAAAAAAUAAUAAAAUAUAUAUUCUAUUCUUAUUAAAUAUUAAUUAGCAACUUUUUUAAAAAUGGGCAAGCAUGUAGUCCAUUCUAAUUUUCUUAAUAAAUAAAAUAAUGUGCUGUUCAUCUGGGCAAGCAACGUGUCAUCUCUCGUACAAGUUUUGACUAUGAAAAAUAAAAGAUCUGAGUUUUUAAACAUUCAAGCUCAAUUCUAAACUUAUUUUUUAUAAUAAAAAACUUUAAAAUAUUUCAUGAAUCCAAACUUUCAUAUUUUUUUAUUGAAAAACAUGAAAAAUAAAUCGAAUUAAAAGAGCUUUAUAUUCUCCAAUCUACUUUUUAAUAACAUAUCUAAAGAAUAAAAAUAUCUUUAUUGAACUUCUCUUCAAAACAAAUAUAUUGACACCAAACUUAAUUUGUUUUUGUAAUUAAAAGGUGGCUGAAGAGAUCAUUCUCUUUUGUCUAUCUUUUUUUGAUAAUUGCUCUACUUUUAUCAGAGGCGAUGAAAAUAAAGUUUGAAAAUUGAAAUAAAUAGACUUAAAACUACAAUGAGCAAAUAAAAAAACUGAAAACAUUAGAGGCAAAACUGUAAAACACGUUGUUCUAGUAUUCUUUAUAAUUAUAAUAUACAUGGGCCUAUUGACUUUUAAAAGAAAAAUGAAAAAAAAGUGAGAAAGGUAAAAAAGUGAGAAAGGUACGAGAAGGUCGAGUGGAGGCGGGGCAUGCUUUGGGCCUUUUGAUUUUGAUUUGAAUUCAGGCAAGGAGGGAGACCUGAAUAGUAAAGUUGGAGGUGGACCCUGGUCCACUACCCGUUGAGCUCGGUUAUUUUUUUUUGGGUCCCAGCUCCUUUGAGACGACGGGUAAUUUUCACACACCUUUUUUUUUUUCUCCUUGUAGUUUGAUAUUUCGUCAUAUAGUCUAUUUCCCACCCUUUGAGAUUAAUUUGAAUUAGCACGCUUAGAAAGUAAUUCACUCCACUUCCAGUCUUUAGUAUUUGUUAAAAAAAUAUCAGCGUAAUUUUUUUUUUAUUAUCUUGCACAGAGAGAGCGAUAGAGGUACGCAUCUCUCCUGUGAAUGUGAAAGCGCCUCUUCUCCUUUCUCUAUUUCUUGCCUCUGGUUGCUACUCUAGGCUGAGUCCCACCCUCUCCUGUUACAUUCCAUCUCUGUGCGUGGCUUGUGUUUAUCAUUUUCUUCCCCAGUAACUGCUAAAUCUGCAGCAUCAGCAUUACCAUUUCUCGCAUAAAUAAACACUAUUCCUUAGUUAGUCUCUUUCUUAAUUAAUUUCAUUUCAUUACCGGUGUUAGUCUUCUACUUAACUACCCCUACUACUAGCGUGUGGUGGACAUUCUGUAACUUUCUCCUCCGCCAUAACUCAGUACUCAGUUGAUUAGUACGUGAUUUUUAAUUUUUAAUUUUUAAUUUUAAGUGCGGAGAAAGAAGCAUAGACAAAGACAGGCAGACAAAAAAAAAAAAAAGGAGGCGAGGCGAGGCGGUGCGGUAGCUUUCAACUACUCCAACACAAUGUAUGUGCUUUCCUCUCCGUCGAUCCGACCACUGCUUUGAUUUUUUAGCUAACGUACGUAUGGCAUAUGCUUGCAUUUUUUUAUUAUUUUAUUUAUUGUUUGUAUUUUCCUAAACGAGAUCUGUUUUUUUUUUUUUUCCCUUUUCUGUUAGGUUGAAGACGAUGAUGAUGAUUUAAACAACUUGCUGAACGUGUAAAGAGAAACAAGUGCUGCGGCAUUUGCUCGAUUAUUAGGGUUUUCUAUUCACCCUUCCAUUUUUCUCUUCUUAAUUCUCAAUGCAAUGACUACUAAACGCGCCUACAAACUCCGUAUCCUCCUCAAUUUUGUUUUUGUUUUUACGGCUUCGUCUGCUCAUUACAAUGCUCACGCUACUCUUUUUUUUCUUUUGCUUGAUCUGCAUUUUGCCUUAUUCAUUUCAGAUCUGUCUUUUAAAAAAUAAAAUAAAUAAAUAAAUAAAUAAACUCCGUUGAAUAAACUGUUGCUUAACUGAUAAUAGUAGUGAUUGCUGCUGCUGUUGUUGGCCUUGACCACAAUUUCUUUUAAAAUUGCUUGAAAAGAGGAAUUUGUGGCUCAUUCUUCGAGUGUCAAUUGCCUCAAGAUUGGCAGGAAAUCAUCCAGGGUUCUUGUGACUGGAGGAGAAGAUCACAAGGUUAAUCUCUGGGCUAUUGGUAAGCCCAAUGCUAUACUGGUCAGUUCUCGAUUCUGUUCGUGAUUUUUUUUUGUACCAUUUUCUUUCUGGUCUGGUGUCUGAUGAUUUUCAUUCCGUCUAAUCCAAUAUUUUCAUGCAGAGUUUGUCCGGACAUACAAGCGGGAUUGAUUCAGUAAGCUUUGAUUCUUCAGAAGUCCUAGUAGCUGCUGGAGCUGCAAGCGGUACGGUCAAGCUUUGGGAUUUAGAGGAGGCAAAAAGUAUGCUUGUGAUGUGUCCUCUAAACUCUUACUAUACUAGAAUUUACUUGUAUAUUCCUAUUGUUUCUUACUAAUUAUCUUUUCUGUCUGUUAAAUUCAUCACUUGCCAUGUGUUCUGUCUGUAGUUGUUCGCACACUCACUGGUCACAGAUCCAAUUGCAUAUCUGUUGACUUUCACCCUUUUGGAGAGUUCUUUGCAUCUGGUUCCCUGGACACAAAUCUUAAGAUAUGGGAUAUUAGAAAGAAGGGCUGUAUUCACACAUACAAGGGCCACACUCGAGGGGUCAAUGCAAUCAGAUUUACCCCAGAUGGUCGCUGGGUUGUAUCCGGUGGAGAGGACAAUACUGUUAAGGUUAUAACUGUUUUCUUUCUCUUGGUGUACAUCAUGUCUACACCCAGCCACUCACACACAUCAUGCCAGAAAAUACUAAAGGUCCCGUGUCCAGUCCGCAUCACAAGGACCUCACAUUGACAGCCCUUAAAUUUCACACAUGGUCUUAUGCACUUCUGCUGCCCAGUUUCUUUUCUUUAUGUCUUCAUAUUCAGUGAAUAGAUGCGUAUCAACCUGGUGACUUGAAUUUAAGAGAGUUGAGUCAGCCAAAUAUAUUUUGGCCCUGCACACUGUGCCUGGUGCCAAGGGUCUGAGACUGAUACCUGGUGACUUGAAUUUAAGAGAGUUGAGUCAGCCAAAUAUAUUUUGGCCCUGCACACUGUGCCUGGUGCCAAGGGUCUGAGACAAGGUUCGGACCCAAUUCUCUCUCAAGUCAAUGCAACUAAUGAAUGCAUUAGGGUCAUAUUUAGUGUGUCUACCACUUGUAAGUUCCUUUUACUUGAGAUAACCGCACAUACAGGUUUCUUUUGUUUGAUUCUUUUUUUAACUAACUCUGCAAUGUGCACGAUUUCAACAGCUGUGGGAUUUGACUGCUGGAAAGCUAUUGCACGAUUUCAAGUGCCAUGAGGGUCAGAUUCAGUGCAUAGAUUUUCAUCCCCACGAGUUUCUUCUUGCAACAGGUCAGUUAUAUGAUUCCAUGAAAAGCUACCUGUCUACUGUAAUGUUAUUUUAUUUUUAAUCCACGGUUCAACACAUGCUGUCUUCUUCAUUGCAUGUUUUUCCAAGGUGUUGAUUUGUGAUAGAUCUUGGUAAUUCUUCCUGCGACAGCAUGCAUUUUGACACUUACCUUAACAUUUUGCUUCUAACAAGUCAAAGAAUUUUUUAGUCUUGAAUUGAUGAUUCUAUCUUUUAUUCCAUAUCCAAUAAAGAAUGAUUAAACAAAAUAGUAAGAAAAACAUAAAGUUAAACCUUUUCUAUAUCUUCAACUUUAGCAUUACCACCAGCAGUAUUCAUUAAUUCUGUGUCAAUCCGAAACUGAAAUUUUGCAAGAAAUGAAUUAGGUGUAUGCAUAGGUAAGUGCAACUAUUUUUAUAUAAAAUUAUAGGCGCGUGAUUAUGUUUGUUGGAACCCCAUCACUAGGAAUCUGUAUCUGUGAUUAGAAAUUUGCAUUUUCCUGGAAAAUUCACAUCUUUGUGUACCUUAAUUUGUUGCCUUUUUGUAGGUUCUGCUGACAGGACAGUAAAAUUUUGGGAUCUUGAAACCUUUGAGCUAAUAGGUUCUGCUGGGCCAGAGGUAAUUUUAUGCCUUAAGAGAUACCUUUUAUCGUCAACUUGGGAACAUAAAUCUUUUCUAGUGCUUUUUCUUAUGAGAGAAUGCUUUUUGUGGAACCUGUCUCCCUUUAGACAACUGGAGUGCGUUGUUUGACCUUUAAUUCUGAUGGGAGGACUCUACUCUGUGGAUUGCAUGAAAGUUUAAAAGUAAGCUCUCUCUCUCAGUAUAUAUAUAUAGAGGUAGUUCUUCAGGUCUACUGGUUUUACUAAAUUUGCAACCAACUUUUUAGGUUUUCUCCUGGGAACCAAUAGGAUGCCCUGAUUCUGUGGAUGUGGGAUGGUCCAAGUUGUCAGAUCUCAAUGUUCAUGAAGGAAAGCUUCUUGGCUGCUCAUACAAUCAGAGUUGUGUAGGAGUGUGGGUUGUAGAUUUAGUAAAGGAAACAAAAUCUCUUGAAAGGUUGUCAGAUUUUCAAAAUUCAGAUCACGGGAAGGAGUUUUCUAAAGAAUCAAAGGUUUUGCCGAGUAAGCUGUUUUUUGAAUCUUUCAAUUCUUGGUUCAGUGUUGGUUUUGGCUAUUGUAUUUUUCUCUUUACUUUAUUCUUUAAAAAAAUUGGUUUAAAAUAAUUCCUUAAGCUGGAUUGUGACAUAUGUUCUUCAUUCCUGGUUCAACAUUCUAAUUGAAGCGACGGGAAGUGCACCUGGUACUCCUCAAAGAGCGAGCUUAAACACUGGGUUGAAGGCAACCAUUACCGGUCCAAUAACAGUUCCUAGCACAGCAGCCCCAAAGAGGAGUUCUAUGAAGGUCCAUUCAGCUGUUAAUGUUCCAGUCUUGAACAAGGCAGAUGUAAUUCCUGUAAUUGUCCCCAGAACCAACUCAAGAUCAGAGCAAGUUGCUGGCUCCAGAAAAGAAAUUGAUAUUGCCGCAAGGACAAUGCCAUUUUCUUUGCAUUUGAAGACAACUGAUUUCCGGAAAUUUUCAAAUAGCAGAGAGGACAUGGACCAGCCAACUACCUCUAUCCAGCCUGCUGAGACCACAGGUUGCAAGGCAACAGAACUGAUCAGUGUCACUGAUAGGAAUAUUUCUCCUGCAGUUAAAGGUUCGAUUCAUGGACUAACAACUGCUGAACAAUCUUUUGGAUCUGGAAACUAUAAAUCAGAUUCAACAUUGGAGCCACCCACUAGUUAUCAGAAAGAAAACUGUAAGUGUUACUAAUUAAGAAAAAAUUAUUUGCUGCUGAUUGUCAGUGUCUGUAUAUAUGUAUGAUGCUGUUGUUUUGUGGCUGCUUCAUAGUUGCCAUUCCGUCAUUUAGCUUGUUAUCUGUAUAGAAAUAACUUUUAAUAAUCAGAUAGAUCGGAACUCAAGAUUUUUCUUGUAAAAUUUGAAGUAAGAUUGUUGCAUUUCAAUUCUUAAACCUUUCUUUCAUAUAUUUGAUCAUUAUAAAUGCACACUAUAUGUUUUUAGUCUUUUAGUCCAACAAUAUCAACUAGCCUCUCCUUUAUAUAACACAGAGAUGGUGACAUUUUAAUCAGAGGAUUGAAGGGGAUGGUUGAUUGCUUCUUUAGAUGUUAUAGGGUUUCAAAAGACAAAAAUUAAGGUUUCAAGGUAGGAUCCUUUUGUAGAUAAGGAAUCUGGUCUGAUUUGAGCUCCUAAAGUUGCUGAUGGCUGUCUUUACUCAGCUGUUUACCUGUUACACAUGUUUCACAAUUUGAUAGGCUGUUGCAUUGAGAAUUUAGGGUUUCUGCAUUCUUUGGGAAUGCUUUCGAAACCUUCCUUUUGGCUUAGAAAUCUAUCAAAUCAAAGUGUACUUAUGCGGUGAAUAGUUGGUUUACAAUGGACUUGGAAUUGGCUCCCAUUAUGAACUUGAUGGGUAAGGGUAUUAAAAAGUAUUUAAGCCUUCUGGUUUGCUUUCUGUAGGAUGGCAGCGACACAUUUAUUUAUAGCUUUAAGUGACUUGCUUUACCAUGGACUGAUUUAUAAACAACUGCAACUAUAAGGUUUACAGAUAAUAUUUUGAUAAGGUACAGUUGAAAAUGCUAUAGAAGAGGCUUCAUUUUGAUAGUAUCUAGGUUGCUAGAACUGAGAAACUUGUUCCAUGAAUUUCUAGGUGCAAUUGGUGUGUAGUGAGCAAAUAAUGCUUUACUGGUACUCCACUGAGGUUUUCUGCCAUUGCUUAAUUUAGCUUAUUUUCAAAGAGAUUAAAUAUGCUUAGAUCUAUACCCUAUAUUUCAGAUCUAUAUUCAAGUUACUAUGAUCAAUCAUUUUUAUUUAAGAUGCUUAGAAUGACAAUGAAUCUGACUUUUUAUUAAGAUGCUUGGAAUGACAAUGCCGGGAAUGCCUUAGUUUUAUGAAAAAGGCACCAAGGUUGGUUUAGCUGAUCAAAACAGCUCUUGCAACUUUUAUAUGGCAGCCUAAGCUAGUUAAAAUUCAUCACCUUUCUCAAAAUUGCUGAUAAUCAUGCUAAUACAUUGCCCUUAGUGAUUAUGUCAACACUGAUAUCUGAUUCAAGAAGAAACAUGGCUUAUAUAGCUUGAAACAACAUUAAUAAGAAUCCAGUAAGUAUCCACCUUUUUGGCUGGUGGAAGGGUGGUUUCAUGAAAUGGACAGGGAUGAUGCUGAAAAUGAAGAGUGAAAUAUGGAUGUUCGUGCAGUGUUGGUGGAAGAAAUCAUAGGGCUGUUUACCCAUUCAAUAGAUCAUGAUUCCCAUCGUAUUCUCUAUGUUUCAUUGACUCCAUGAGUUGGACUUUGAUUUGCUUGGUACAUUUGUGGCUUUGGAUUGGCAUACUUUUCACACUUUUGUCAGUUGAAAUGGAAUGCGCGGCUCCAAUGUUGAAAAUAUUAAUGUUUCUUCCAGGUGAGACUCGAGGACAUAAAAUAAACAGAGAUGCACCCUCCAUUGAAAGCCAGAAAGGAGGUAUUGCUGUUCCUGAUUGCAAUAUGAGGUUUGUCAAUAAUGCAAAUAUGCCUAAUCUAUUUCACAUUAAAUAUGUAGGAAGAAUGCGUUCACUUAUGAUAAACUGGGAGAAAAGGGGAAGCUCUCCUAGCUAUGAGGGACCUACUUCUGGCAUUUCUGCCGGGACAUCAUCUGUGGUGAAUGUGCUCCCUCUUAAUAUGGUAGGAUUUGAUUUCAACUUUUGUACUUGUUCCAUUCUCUUUCAUAACUUUCUGAUCACCUGAAGACAUGUGCUACUAUUUUGGGUUUCAGGACUGUAUUACAUGUUUUCAAAGUGUUAUGCAGAACAUAUCAUGUCCAAAAAACAUAAAAACGAAAAGGACCUGUUAAUUGAUUAUGUUUGAUUCUAGGUCUUUAUCUUCCGUACAAAAAUGAUCUAUCAUUUUAUCUUUGCUUGUAUGAAUGAAACAAUUAUUAAUUGAAAAUUUUCACAUCCCUCACCUUGUUCUGUUAUGGAUGAUAUCAAAUAUGUGCUGUUUACGAUUCAUAAUUAUUUUUUUCAUCAGUACUGCGAUCAGAACAUCAGUUUUACAUUUUAUGGUGCCAAUUCUGAUAUCUCUAUGCACUCAAUUUCCUAAAAAAGAUGACAUUUUAGUUCAGUGGCACUGCCUAUGAUCUAACUAGAAAUGUUUCUGGUUGGAAAAUGGAGGAUAAACUGUUCACGUGGAGGGAUACAAAUUUAUUCCAGUUGAGGAUACACCUAGUUUACAAACUUUGUAGAGGUAUAUAUGUUUUUUUUGUGUUGCAUUUGUCACAAUGAUGGUUGCACUAAAUUGUAGUGGUCUCUCUGGAGGGAGCUUCUCACAUGGCAUAGAAGGCAUAAAAGCAUCUAGAACAAUAGAGUCCUGACAAUCCCGUUCCGGAUCUUAAUUUUUCCAAAAUAUUUUUUAUGUGCUUGUUUAAGUCUUCUCAUUUCAUUCACUUUAAAGAUGCUGAUUUAUACACCUUUUUCAUCUGUUAAUAAGUUGAAGUUUAAACAGAGAGGACGUGCCCCAUCCAUCGAAAAGGAAAUGGUUUCUGCUAGUGACGAGGAUGUUAUUGCAGACUUAAUGGAACAGCAUGAUCAAUUUGUCAGCUCUAUGCAGUCUCGUUCUGCCAAGUUACAGGUGACUUAGCUGGAUAAGUGAGUGUGUACGUGUGUGACAAGUGUAGACAUAAACGUAAUAUUUUGCCCAUUCAAGGGCAGGGGAGAGCUGGUGACAGAAAACAUCAGCGUCUUUGUUUUGGCAUUUCUUGACAUAAUUCCACAUGAGAGAUGGAGAUAAAUUCAUUACCAAUAAAGUUACUAUGCUAUGAAUGCAAGUACCUCAAAUUGCAACUGUAAUUUGUUUCUGUCCCUAACUGAUAAAUUGCCUUUUAGCAUCUCCAUAAUUUUUUAUUCUUAUCAUAAUGAUGGAUUCAAUCAGAGCACCCUCCCAAAUUGCUGGUUAUAAGCUCCUAUCUGUACUUGCUUUAUCCCUUCCAACUGCAAGUUAGUUGUCACAAUCUAAUUAUUACUUUCUUAUUGAUAUGGUAGAAACGAACAGAUGCAAUGGUGUAACCUGUUUUCUGCAAGAAAUACACAGCAUUGACCCAGCAGAUUCUUUGGUUUUGGGGCCAUCUCUUAUCUUUUGUAACAUAUGAGAACUUAGAAACUGCAUGCUACAUUUAUUCUCCAUUUAGCCAUCAUGUGCCCCCCGUUUAUUUUCUCCCUUUUGUACUUCUGUUAAUAUGUUUGCAUCCAGCUAGCUGCCAUUGAAAGGUUGGUGAAACUUUUCUAUGAUUUCCUGUAGGUUGUCCAUAGAUAUUGGGAGAGAAAUGAUGUAAAGGGGGCCAUUGGUGCAAUGGAGAAGAUGGCUGACCACGCCGUGAGUUCCCUUUUCCCUCCUCUUUUCUCACUGUAUUUAAUAAGCAUAUUUGGAUACUACAGUUCUUUUAACAUUCAUUCUUAACCUUUAGUUUCUUUCCAUAUGCUGUAACUGGCAGGUCCUUGCUGAUGUAAUCAGUAUUGUGGCAGAUAAAAUUGACACUGUCACAUUGGAUAUAUGCACAUGUCUCCUGCCUCUUCUUACUAACCUGCUUGAAAGUGACAUGGAUAGGUAGGUUGUGCUUUGUAAUACUUGUCAGUUAAUCAACUUACAGCUGUUGGUCUAUGUGUUUUCCAUCAUAAGAAAAUGUAGUUUCCAGUGGGCAGCACCAAGUGUUGGUUAUUUUCAAAAGAAAGUGCCAAUAGCGAGGAUUCAUUGCUAAACUAUCUUGUAUUUAGGCACUCAAGCAUUUCACUGGACAUGCUGCUGAAGCUGGUCAGGACAUUUGGUUCAAUGAUCUAUUCGACUCUAUCAGCAUCAACAUCUGUUGGUGUGGAUAUUGAAGCAGAGCAAAGGUGUGCACCUUUUGUAAUGUUUGCAAUUGUUUUUUCUUUGCACACAACAAAAAUUGCUUUGAGACGCUGCUUAUGUGGUUCACAGGUUGGAACGUUGCAAUAUCUGCUUUGUAGAGCUUGAGAAAGUCAAGCGUUGCCUGCUUACCCUUACAAGGUAGCUUCAAUUUUCUUAGCGGGCUUGACAACUGCUGCUUUGAUAUCCCAAUGUAUUGUGUCUGGAUUCUUUUAUUCUACUCUCUGUUUUGUUCAAUAGGAAAGGUGGUUCAGUUGCGAAGUACGCCCAGGAGCUAAAUCUAGCUCUUCAAGAAGUAUCAUGACCAAACACCGUUUCUUCUGAGGGGCGACUGUGAAUGUUGUUUUUAGCCUACAUGGAUUGGAUUAUGAUUUCUUUAUGGGAGGAGCAGAGUGUGCAUUUGUAGGAGUUAAAACUGCUUGCCUUACAUCGGCUAAUACUUCCAAGUUUUCUGCCUUGGUUGGCCCCAGACCUCCAUGUACCGCUGAUUCUAUCUUAAUUACUACUGAAACUUGAAAGCUAACAUAGGUGUAUCUCCAUCUGCCAUCGGUUGCUGCAGUCCUGACAAUCUUUCAAUGUGGAAAAGGAUUUUGCCCACUCAACAUGUAGGAAACAGAUUGUAACCUUGGCACUGUAUCAAUUCAUUCUUUUUUGAAUACCUAUCGAAAGAGGAAAUAGAGCAAACUGGUUUUAAGUGUGUACGAAUAUGUUGCGGCUACUCGCCGCCUCCGUUACAACCGCUUUUGUUCUCUUUUUUCUUUUCAAACUGAACAGCAUGUUCUGUUUCGGCCUUUUGUGUACGCGGCUGUUUUGGACUUUAUCUACAGCUGGCCUAGCCAGUUGCACGAGUAAAGGCCCUGCCAGGGGCCUAGAAGCUCCCAUAUGGGUGCUGGACCAACAUGCCCUGUUACGAAAGCCUAACUUCAGAGGCCUGUUGGACCCAAGCCAGCCAGAACAAAACCAGCAAUUAAACAGCGGAAGCUUCAAAGAAUCACGCAGCAAGAUCAGUAACCGAUGCAUGCAAAUUAAAUUAAAUUAGAAUUAGAAUUAUUAAGAAAAAAAAACUAAAAGAGGUCAGAUAUGUACUGUGUAUUAUGGGGUAUUUUACCGUGGACUUUAACAGUGUACUAAUGAUUUUUCCCUUGCUCUGGAAAGCUUGAUUGUUUUGGAAGGUUAUUUUUUUUUUCUUUUUUUUUUGCUACCUUUUUUACGUUCCUACCGCGUAUUUUAUUCCUCUCUUUUUUCUUUUGACUUAUUGCACCAGAAACACAGCUUUCACUCCAGACCUCAGAGGGCCUGGAUUUGGUCAGGAAAAACAAAAAUAACCUAGAACCCUUGAUUAGCUUUUGUGGCAAAAUAACCAAGAGAGGUUGAGUUGGAGAAGGACCAAAAGCACAGCUUUUACUCCAAGGGCUUCAAUCUAGUCAAGAAAAAAAAACCCAGAACCCUUUAUUAGCUUUUAUAGCAAAAUAAUUGAGAGAGGCUGAGUUGAAGAAGGAGAGGAAGAUGCAGAGACAAGCAGACCCUUAGGUUUGGGUUUGAUCAGUAGAGACUCAAGAGGGCUUGAAUCUCUCUUCCUCUUCUACUUCAACCAGGUGCUAUGAGUAAAAAAAAAUUUAUUUUUCACUAUGCAUCUUCAUCUCCUUCGACCAGGUUCAACUAAAGAGGCUUGAAUAAAAUAUCAAUAGCCAAGUUGUUUCUUCAGAUUUCCAUCUUGAAGUCGUUUGAUUUUUUUUGUGUUGUUGAUUUUAAGGUUUCACCAAGGGUUUCUUCCUUUUUAGGUUUUGAAAAUUUACAGCUUUUUGUUUUCCUGUCGUAAUCAUUAUUAUUAUUAUCUGAUUGGUUGAUUGAUUUGGUUUGGUUCUGUUGUGAUUUCGCGUCUUUCGUCCCAUGUUGAUCUAUCUUGCUUGGGCCCUUGGCCUGACAAUCCAUUUUGAGAGCUGGUCCAGUUUGGAAACAACUAUUCUGUAUUAAGAAUGUGUUUGAUAUUGAGAUUGCUGUAUUUGUAAUUUUAAAAAAAUUAUUUUAUAAAAAAUAUUUUUAGUUGAUGUUGGUUUGGAAAAAUAUAUGUUUAGUUAAAACUAUAGUUGAAAUUGAGGUUGAACAAAAAGUAGUUUAAUGUGUUUGGUUAAAAAAAUACUUUGCAAAUUGAGGUUAUAAAAUAAUUAAAAAAUAUAUAUAUUAAUAUUAAUGAUUUCUAAUUUAAAUAUUGUAGAUUUAACUACUAUUAUUACAUCAUGAAAUAAAUAAUAUUGAUAUCAAAUAUUUUUUAUUAUUCUAUUAAACUAUGUGCAAUGUCAUCACAUACGAAAUCUAUCCAACAAUGACUAUAUUUUCCAUGGUUUCUUAAGCGCGCAACAAUAAAAACUGAAUUUUUUGUUAUGUCAUCAAGCGAUCUCCUUUUAAUUUUUUGAAUAAAACACAAUUAAAAUAAAAAUAAAAACUGAUUUUUUUUUAACUAGGUCGGACCGGGCAAGAACAUAAUUGGAAUUGCGAUCAAAUUCCACAAAUGCUACGUCAUCAUGCGAUAUCCUUCUAAUUUAUGUAGUGUUAUUAAAUAAUAUUAAAUACUAGUUUUUCGAGUAAAACAUAAUUUUUUUAAAAAAAUCAACAAUUUCAUUACGUACAAAAUUCAUUCGACAAUAACUACAGUUUCCAUGAUUUAUCAUGCGUGCAAUAAAAUUAGAUAAAAUAUUAUCAGAAAUAAAAUUGAGAUUACAGUACAAGUAAAUUUAAUUCAUCUUAAACUAAUUUUUAAAAAAAACAAAAAAAAAACCGAUCACGUUCACGUGAACAAUGCGAGUGCAAUCAAUUAACUGCACUAGUUUUUCGGGAAAAAAAAACUAAACUAAACUUUUCACAUUGGUUUUUCAAAAAAAAAAAAUAUUGUUCACUUUAGUGAACAGUGCGAUAGUGGAGCCAUGCUCCACUGUUGAGGUUCCUCCCCCACUAUGAGAAGCAGUAAAAUGCUGCUUCUCAAAACCUGCGUCCCAAUCUUUGAUUUUAGUGGGUCCUACCAGCAAGAUGUAAUUUUUUCUUCUUAACCAAACGCUGUUAUGUGUGGCUGCGGGUGAACCUCACCUACAGCCACGUUACCAAACGACAUCUUAGAGCUUGAUUCAUAUGAUUCCAUGCAUAGAUCUUCUGUGCGAGGGAUGCAGUAUGAGUUUCAUGCUGGUUUUUUUUUUAAAUAAAUUCAUGAAUUUUCUUUUGAUUUUUACAAGUAUGUUGUCUCUACGUUCUUCUAACUGUGUGGCUAUUCUUAAUAAAAAAAAAUAAAAAACCAAAGGUAUAAGAAGCAUCAUUGCUUAAUUUGGUAUUGUGGUAACUUUUUGGUUGGGAUUUGAAAACAGUUGUUUUAUAAAAAAUAUUUUUAAUUGAGAUUAGUUUGAUAUUUAUAUAUGUUUGGUUAAAACUGUAGUUGAAAUUAAUGUUGAAUAAAAAAGUAGUUUAAUAUAUUUGGUUAAAAAUGCUUUUCAAAUUGAGGUUGUAAAAUAAUUUCAAAAAAUAUAUAUUAAUAUUGAUGGUUUUUAAUUUAAAUAUUGUAAAUUUAACUACCGCCAUUACAUCAUGAAAUAAAUAAUACUUUAUAUAAAAUAUUUUUUAUUAUUUCAUUAAACUAUCUACAAUUACAUCACGUAUGAAAUACAUUCGACAAGGACUACAAUUUUCUUGGUUUCUUAAGGCCGCAACAACAUUAGGUAAAAUAUCAUCAGGAAUAAAAUUGAGAUUGCGAUCUCCGUCUGAUUUAUCAUUAGUGUCAUUGAAUAAUGUUAAACACUAAUUUUUAAAAUAAAACACAAUUAAAAAUAAAAAAUAAAAUUUUUUAUUUUAUUUUACUGGGUCGGAUAGGUUGAUAGUUAUGUUUUAAAAUAUAUUAAAAUAAUAUUUUUUAUUUUAUAAAAUUUAUUUUUGAUAUUAAUAUAUAAAAAUUUAAUUUAAUUUUUAUUUUAAAAAAUAACAAUAAUUUAACCAUAAUCCAAACAUGGCCAUAAUCAUCAUUUAUAAGAAGAAAGCUAGUGAUUGCUUGCCAUUGGCAUAUAGAGAAAAGAAUCUCUAUGAUAGUAGAGUAUAAUAAAUUACUUUAUACGGGCAUAAAUAUCUAUCACCCCAUGAAUUUAAUUUUUUAUGAUAGGUAGAAUCCGUAGAGAAUGAGAGCUCAAUUAUUUAAUUUCAGAAUUAAAAAUCAAAUUUACCAAAAUAAGCGGGAAGCAUUUGAAAGCAGCUCUUAGCUGCUUCUUCUUAUCUUGCGUUGCAAACACAGGCCCAUGAACAGUGAAUGCUGUUUUUUUCUUUAACAAACGUUUGGCUCUUGCCUUUUGCUUCAAACGCAAACGCCUCGUCGUAAAGAAACUGUCUUUCACCGGGAUCAAAGCUACCCAUGAACUAGGACCCAGGGACCGAGCAUAAAGGUCAUCUGCUACAAGUCACGAUAUAAAGUAACCAAUCGAGAUUAGCCUUCAAAACAAUAUAGCGGACGGAUUGCAUGCCCUCAACAAGUUCCUCGUCUUAAAAGUUAAAAUGCCAGUAAAAUGUAAGAAAUUUCACAUCACCACAAAAGUUGGAGUAAUAUUACUGGCAAACAGUAACAAACAGGCAACUGGCCUCUGAAACAUGUCUAGUGCUUCGACACCAAAUCCAAAACAUAUGAACAGCCUCCAUAAGAAUGCUAAGAGAAUAAGUCCACAGCUCAUUCCAUUGAGAAAACUAUGUUUUAGCGGAUCUUCAAUUCAAAGAAAAAUGCAAAGCAUGAAGAUGAAAGAAAUGGCAGGGCAGAGGUCUACGAAAGAUCCAAAAACCACAGUACAAAUAUUUAAUUAAUCUUCAGUUCAAUCAGAGCCAUACUAGUGAUCGUUAAUUCUGUCAGAGCUGUACAAUAGCAAACAGCUUUUAAUUGAAAAUUGUCACAAGCUAGAAAAAGCAAAUCAUCAAAUUUGAUUACAUGCAAUAGAAGAAUCAGAACAGCGUAUGGCAAGUUUGAUGUAACAUAAUUCUAAUUGUCCAAGGAGCACUGAAUAAUAGAUGCUCUGCAUUGCAUAUGUAUUAUUGCAUGGGUAUAAUAUAUGACUGCCUCCUUAUUAUACCAGAUGAAGCAAAAACACACAUCCUAGUCAGUGUUCCAUGAUUUCCUGGACUUUCCUUUCUAAUCCGUGGUCCUAAAAAAUUGGGAAUACCCUUCACCAUUUCCUAUAUUCUAUCAAUUCCCUGCUGUCAUUUUCCAAAGAUAACCAACCAACAUUGAGUAUUGAGAUCCCACUAGAUGGCGAGAUACAAUAAGGAGCAACCUCAAGAUAAACUAACUAGAGGAACAAGACUAGGAACAAGUGCCCAAAGAGAAGUCAGAAACGAAGUGGAUUAAACCCUAGCACAUCUGCCAACAUAUUGAAAUGCAUCUCCAAAAAUGAGCGCUUUGUCAGGAAGAGCAACCCUAUGGGUCUGUGCAGGAAGGACUGGCUGGGGGAGGAUGAAUAGGGUAAAAUGAAAGGAUGGAUGUUAACCCAUCCAUCUAAUUGUUUGACUAACUAUAGAGGGAAGGAUAAAAGGCAAUCCUUUGGAAAGAAUAGAGGGAUCCUUCCAAACCUUCCUUGGGUCCUAGCCCUUCUUUCCAAACAAAAGGAACACCCCAUCCUUCACUUCUCAUCCCUCUCUCUUUAUCCACCCCUCCCUCAAUGCCCUCCAGCCAAACACACCCUAUAAGUUGGGAGUAUAAGAGCUCCACCAUUUCAAGCGCUAGCUUAGAAUUGAUCCUAACUACAAUCACAGAAGCCUGUAUAUGUAGGCAAAAUAGAUCAGAUGUAGCACUGCAGUUGCGAAUUUUAAAGAAGAAACGCCCCCUCAAAAUAGCAAUUAGUAAACAAGCAAAGAAAGGAAAUUCCAGAUAAUAAGAUUGUUAAAUUGAAAGAAAGAGCAAUGAUGAUGACGAUGACGAUUGUGAAGUGAUAACAAGUAAAACUGAUUGGAUUGAAGAAGAACAUAUGUAUAUACACACCAUUCAUAUUAUAACAACAACAUACAUAUUUUAUUAUGAAAGUAAAAGGAAGAGCAAAGAGAGGUAUUUUCCUGCCUGCCUGCAUUGGAUGAUGAUUGAUAUGUAAGAAGGCAAGGAAAUGAGGAUAGGACAGUUCAAUCAAGGAAUUCCAACUCAUCCUCUCUGAGAUGAGCAAAGAACUUGACUCCUCCUGAAUGGACAAACUGAAUCUUGUAAGGAAGAUUAGCUGAAACUCGCCUCCCCUUCCACAGGUUCACGUACUGCUUCACCUCACCUUCCAAUCCACACAGAUCCAAUUCCUCCGCCACUCGAGGCACGUGGUAAACCUUCACCGGAACCUUCACCCUAACCUUCGCUCCAAUCUUCUUCUUCGCUU
rnacentral:lncRNA from 1 species